rnacentral:lncRNA from 1 species
AGCAAUGGCCAUGGCGUCGUCGAGCGGGCUGAGGAGCUGCAGCGCCGUGGGCGUGCCCAGCCUCCUGGCGCCGUCGUCCCGGUGGUCCAGCCGCCUGCCGUUCUGCGCCAACGCCACCACCUCCGGCCGCGUCACCAUGUCCGCCGAGUGGAUGCCCGGCCAGCCCCGCCCUGCCCACCUCGACGGCUCCUCGCCCGGGUAAGCUAGCUAGCUAGCUAGCGGCUGAGUCUCUGUCUCUGUCUCUGUCUGACAACGGCGGCGCGGCGGCCGGCGGCGUGCUCUGCUCUGAUUUCUCUAGCUCUCUCUCUCUCUGACGAUUACAGGGACUUCGGCUUCGACCCUCUUGGUCUGGCGACGGUGCCGGAGAACUUCGAGCGGUUCAAGGAGUCGGAGGUGUACCACUGCCGGUGGGCGAUGCUGGCGGUGCCGGGGAUCCUGGUGCCGGAGGCUCUAGGGCUAGGCAACUGGGUGAAGGCGCAGGAGUGGGCGGCCGUCCCCGGCGGCCAGGCGACGUACCUGGGGAACCCGGUGCCGUGGGGGUCGCUGCCGACGAUCCUGGUGAUCGAGUUCGUGGCCAUCGCGUUCGCGGAGCACCAGCGCACCAUGGAGAAAGACCCCGAGAAGAAGAAGUACCCCGGCGGCGCCUUCGACCCGCUGGGAUUCUCCAAGGACCCCGCCAAGUUCGAGGAGUACAAGCUCAAGGAGAUCAAGAACGGCCGCCUCGCCAUGCUCGCGUUCGUCGGCUUCUGCGUGCAGCAGUCGGCGUACCCCGGCACCGGCCCGCUGGAGAACCUCGCGACCCACCUCGCCGACCCGUGGCACAACAACAUCGGCGACAUCAUCAUCCCCAGAUCAAUCUCCCCUUGAGCUCAGAUCAGAUGCAUGUUUUGUACGUGUGUCAUUGCCUUGCCAUUACUAGGCAUUGCCUGCUGCCUGCCUGCGUGCAGGAGCUGUACAACGACGACGGCGACUUCCUGCGCCGGAAAACCCCUUGUAAUGUAAAGCUUAUAUUAUUAAGUAGCGGCUACUCUUGUAGUCUUGUAUCAAAUCUAAACUGGUUUAGCUGAGUCCCAUGGUUAUUUCGAGACUAAUUAACCAGGGGAAGUUUAGCUUAAAACGGAGAAAAUUCAUACGAGAACUUUGACAAAUGAUAACUACAAAGUAUCUGUGUUUCUGCUUUCCGCAAACCCUUUUUUUUGUUUCUUUUUUUUCUCCUAGAUCUCUUUCGCUCUUUGCUGUAACUCUCACUUUCUUUUUGUUGUAACUUAACUUACCUGCCUUUAAUAAAAUUCCUGUAGGGGCCAAGGCCCCUCCAGUUCUCUCAAAAAAAAAAUAGAGUUUUUCAGCCGAAGAACAAAUGUCUUUUUUUUUCUCGAUCAUGCAAAAUGUUUGCGCGUCGGAUCACUACCGGACUCAGCUACUUUGCCUAGUGCCGAAGACACACGGCAAAGGCAAUAAAACACUCGGCAAAGGCUUUGCCGAGUGUAACACUCGGCAAAGUCAAGACGGCAAAAUAAAUGUCGGCAAAGAAAACAUUGCCGAGUGUUUUCCGUCGAACGCUCGGCAAAAUAUUUUCCGAGUGCUGUUGUGACCCUCGGCAAAAAAAAGCGACACGAACGGAGACCAAACGGCUAACGGAGACUUUACCGAGUGCUAACACGUCGAGACACUCGGCAAAGAAAAUAAUUCUUUUUUUUUCAGAAAUUCUUUGCCGAGUGUCCUUCUUUCAGGCACUAGGCAAAGAAAAUAAUUCUUUUUUUUCUAGAAAUUCUUUGCCGAGUGUCCUUCUUUCAGGCACUAGGCAAAGAAAAUAAUUCUUUUUUUUGCAGAAAUUCUUUGCCGAGUGUAUUUUCUCUUGCACUAGGCAAAGCCUAUAUCUUUGCCGAGUGUCUUUGCUCUUGCACUAGGCAAAGUCUACAUCUUUGCCGAGUGUCUUUGCUCCUGCACUAGGCAAAGCCUACAUCUUUACCGAGUUUCUUGGUUGCUGCACUCGGCAAAGCAACUUUCCAGAUCCAUUUUUCUUUAUUUUUUGCAUUCCAAUGAAUCAAAAUAAUUUGUACAUCACACAUAUAUAACAGAUAUCACAGAUAUCACACAUAUAGGCAAAGCUUUCGGCACUCGGUAAAGGCUGGGAUUCCGGUAGUGGAUAGAAAUAGUUUGGUUAGAAGACCGGACAGUGAAGAACAAAUAUCUGAGUUUAGCAGCUUCAACAGAAAUGAAGGAUACAAACUGCCAGUCAAUACUAGUAUUGACUAAGAAUUAUCUGAAAAAUAAUAACUUUAACUCUAAGGAUAAGGAAAUUGGUAGUAUAUAUGCACUGUACUUAGCAUGAUAGCAAUCACAAGCUUCAAUUUCUAGAGUGUGUGUGUGUAUAUAUAUAUAUAUAUAUAUAUAUAUAUAUAUAUAUAUAUAUUCUGGAGUUCAUUGUACAUUCCUUUUUAGAAACCAACAUCUGACAUUCCUUUCUUUUUUUUUUCUGGAGUUCAUUGUACAUUCCUAACCAGGGGAAAUUGCCUGGCCAGGCAUAGCUUAAUUAGAGGCAUCCGAUUUCAGACAUCAGAAAGUCAGAAUUGCUGGCCUGGGUAUGAUCUAAACAGCACCUAAAUAAAUGCUCCUAAAUGCUAGAGCCUAGAUGAACAAUUGUAAUAAGUAAAAUUAAACCAAUAACCGAACCAAAAAAAUAGAAAGCGGAGAAAGAAUAAACCAAAAAUAAAUUACAAAUUGGAGAAAGAAAUUAAGAGACUACUAGUAGUAGUAGGUACUCUACAGAACCAACCUCUAUUCUAUUCUUGUCAAAUGGGUUUGUUGCCUUGGCGGUGAAUGUAUCUUCCCUCCCCACCCCAAGAGCCUUUGCCUCUUGCCCGCACUUCCCUCGCACCGCCUACACUACCAAGCCAUGCGCCAUGGCAUGCAACCAACACCCUUCAAAAGCUCCAAAUGCGCCCGCAUGCACCGCCUCCUUCUAUUGACCCCACACGCUGUGCCUGCCGCAAUGCCAUCACGGCAACCGCCCUCGCCGUCUUCUUUGCCUCCGGCUCCGGCACCGGGCACGGCGGCGGUCCAGGCCCUCGCCGGCGCCGCGAGCUGCCUCCCCGCGGACCAGUCCUGCUUCACGGUCUCGGCGGUCUCCGUCGGUGCGCCUAGCUACUACUCCUCGCGUCACGACGCUGCCGCCGCCAUUGUCGGCACACACGCCUGCUGCAACACAGCCUCCUACAUCACCGUCCUCGGCAUCAGCUUCGGCUCCCUCCUCGUCAUCCUGCUCAUCCUGUGCGCCAUCCGGUGGUACCUCGUCCGGCGGUCCGCGAGCCGGGACGACGCUGCCGCCCAGCAGGCUACCGCCGCCGCGGCGGCGGAACCGGCGGAAAAGAAACAGCCCAAGGGACUGGAUGCUGACGCCAUCGCCGCGCUGCCGGAGUUCAUGUAUCGGCGGAAGGAGGACGCCGCCGACGGGAAGGAGGAGCGGGAGCUUGAGUGUGCUGUAUGCCUGGGCGCAAUGGCGGACGGCGACGCGGCGCGGCGGCUGCCGUCAUGCAUGCACGUCUUCCACCGGGGCUGCGUCGACGUGUGGCUAAGGGAGCGCUCGACAUGCCCGGUCUGCCGCGCCGAGGUGGACGUCGUCGUCAGAUCGUCCGGCGAGGGCUGUGACGGGAAGGACGACCAAGAAGGCGGCCCGUCAAGGGCGUCCACGUCGAUGGCGUGGACAGCACAGGAAGAGCUGAUAGACGAAGGGGAGAGGGACCUGGAGGCGCAGCUGUAGAGUGUAUUGGCAGAGGUACAUGCUAGGAGUAGCUUUGUCUUGUUAUUAUUCUUUUCUUUGUCAGGAAUAGUGAAUUAGUAAUAUAGAUGAUUUGGAUGGAAUUUGUAUAGGAUAUAAAUGUAUAUGUAGUGUAGUAUUCUACCUACGGAGUAUCCCAUAUAUACCACUGCUGGUGAGAAUAAAUAAAAGAGAAAAGGAGGAAAUGCUCAAAGGUUUUUAUUUUGUGAUUACACGGAACAAUACAAAUACUCACAACAUACGCACACGCACACGCACACAAACCCUACCACUACGAGCAUCUUUGGAGAUUGGGCUGACAAAUCUUCGAAAUUAAUGAAGUCACUAUAUGUGUCUCGCUAUGGAUAGAAAUGUUGCAUUGUUAAAUUCUAAAAAAUUCGCUCCUACGGAGAGUUGAACCAAGGAUCUGAGACUCUUGUAACCACUAAUCUACUAAUUAAAAGAGAAAAAGAGCAAGUGUCAAUGUUUUCGUGUCGUGUGACACGACACAUGUUUGGUUGGAGGUAAUUGAAAGGAGAGGGAAUAUGAGUUUAGUUAGAAAUCUUUUGUUUGUUUGGUGGGAGUGAAAGUUUUGGUGGAAAGAGAAACGGAGUUCACAGGACCAACUAAGAGCAUCUUUAACAGAUUACUUAUCCCACAUCUCCUAAAAGUUUAUAUAUAUGUGAUCUCCAAUUGUUAGUAGUGUAGCUAUAUCUUCUCCUCCUCAACAGUUUACUAAUAUAUUUUUUAAAUGGAUGGGAGAGAGAUGAUGGAUCUCCUACAAUUGAGGGAGAGAGGGUGAAGAUGAGUAAUCUAUUGGAGCAACACAAUAUCUUAUAUUGCAUAUAUGUUUUGUAUUGGGAAUGGAUAUAAGUAAUCUGUUGGAGAUGCUCUAAUUGAUUCCUAAGGAGAGAGAGAGGAGGAGGAGGAGGAAAUUGUGCUCUUAAUAAAAAAUACAUCCUCACCGUAUAUCAUGACUAGUCAUAUAGUUUCUCGCUUGAAACUCCCACUACCAUAAGGGAUAUGAAUUUCAUCAUCAACUCUCUCUCUUAUUUCUCUCUAGGAACCAACAACGUAAAAGUCAUAUUAACACCUUAACUCCCUCCAUCAACUCACACCACUAAUGCUCAUGCCCUUUCUACCCCCUCUCGCUCUCGCUUCUCGAUGAAUCAAAUAUUUUUAAAUUUGAUCAAAUAUAUAUAAGAAAAAAUUAAUAUUUAUAGUACAUAAUUAAUAUUAUUAGAUAGAUCAUUGAAUCUAUUUUUUAUAAAAACUUAUUUAAAGAUACAAAUGUUACUAAUAUUUUUUUAUAAAUCUAGUCAAGCUUGAGAAAAUUUAACCAGCAUAAAUACCAUAGUGACACUUAUUCUAGGAUAGAGAGAGUAAUCACCAAAACACAUUGAGUGAAUUGAAAUUGCCCUUAGGGAAAAAAAGAAAGACGCACUGAAAUAGACUUCGAUUCUUGUUUCUCCAAGAUCAGUCAUUAAUCAGGCGGGAAUGAUCAUGUCGCUAAAGGGCUUAUUCAGUUAGAGUGGAAUGAGCUCAGGAAUUAUUCCCGUUAAUCAAAGUUAUACAUAUUAGACAAUUAUUCUAGCUAGGAAUCGUUGCAGGUGACCGUUCCUGGUCAACCGAACAGGUCCUAAGGAACCUACAAACACUACUGUAAAAGCAGGAUUCCACGUUGGUGCUAAAACGUUGAGGCAAUACAAACUACCGUAAGAAAACUUGGAAAAUUAAUUUUCCAAUUGGUUUCAUAGACAGGAACGAAAUAACGGAUAUACCUAAAAUGAUAGGAAAAUAAAGUUUGCCUCAUGGAGCAUUGAUAGAAACAAUUCUCUCAUCGAUUCUUUUCUGUCAGAAAAAUCCUGGGCCAUCAGAUUUGGAUUUCUAUCCCUGUCGUACGAAAAUGAUACGAAAAUGCAUUUGAAUAGUUAUAUGGAAAAAGGUAUGUCUCAGUUCUGAACUGUGAAAAAAAUACAGCACUAUUUUUAUUGUUGUCGUCAAUAAGGUCAGUCUCAGUGGGGGUUUCACCAGGAUGUCAUGCACAUUUAUUAGAGCGCCAUGUCAGCAAAACUGCACUUUUUUGCAUGAAACGAAGAGGAGAGAGAAGCAAGUAGUUUCACCAUGGUGAAACUCUGCUGGCGUUGUUUCCCACGCGGUGAAACAGGAUGAAUCCCCACUGAGGACUAAAUCGUUUCACCAUCUUGCAUGUGAUCCAAUCAUUUUGCAGUAAUUAAAUGCUUUGUCCAGCCUAGAAAACAUCAAGGUGAAACUCAUGCAUUGUGGAGGUUGUUUCAUUGUUCGUUUUAUUGAUGCUCUGUCAGCAGAUUUGUUUUGGAAACAGUGCAUUGAAACGGGCCAUUGAGACUGGCCUAAGAAUAACAUUCACACCGACAGAAAAAUUAUCCAGAAAGGAACCUUAUUUAUUUAUUUAAAAAUUCAUACGUAGUUUUCAAUAUAUUUCAUACAUGAUUCCAUCACAUUUAUACACAAAUUCAAACAAUAUGUUUAUAUAUAAUUAAUUAAAUUAUGUAUACUAUCUUAUCUUUACUUCUGACAGAUAUUUUAGUCUUCCAACUACAACUAUACAAGCAAACGUGUGGUGUAAUAUAUUUUUAAGUUAGCUCUUGCUUUAUAGUUCAAAUCUACUAUCCCUUUAUCCUAAAUUUUAAGACGCUUAACUUUUUUUACUCUAAAUUUGACCAUUUGUCUUAUUCAAAAAAUUUGUAUAAAUAUAAAUUUACAUUAUUUUCUAAAAAGUUUAUUAAUAAACCAAACCAUGACACAUGACAAAAGAAGUGAUAUUUUACGUAAAUUUUUAAAUAAGAUGAAUGAUCAAACUUGAUGUCAAAAAGUCAAACGUUUCAUAAUUUAGGAUGGAUUGAGUAUUAGUUUGGGCCGAACAAGCACAGUUGGGCCAAGCCAAUGGGCUUCUAUCACUCAUCAGCCAUCACGCCUCUCACCAAUCACCGACGGCCAGAUGCCCAGUUGCCGUUUCUGAAAAAAAAGCCCAGUUGCCCACCACCGUCCAGGCGUCCAGUCAUGUCCAGCGCCGCCGUCGACCUCCGCCUGGGCCAGCGCGUGCACGCCGCCGGCGACCCUCGCCGCGUAGGCACGGUGCGCUACCUGGGCCCCGUAGAGGGCCACGCCGGAGACUGGGUAGGCGUCGACUGGGACGAUGGCGCCGGCGGCCGGCACGACGGCUCGCUCGCCGGCCGCCGAUACUUUGUCGCCGCGGGAGAGUGCUCGGCCUCCUUCGCGCGCCCCACCGCGCUCAGCGGAGGGAUCUCGCUCCCGGACGCGCUCCGCCUACGCUACCGCGUUCAGGACUUCACCAAGGAGGAGCAGGGUUAGUGGCUUAGUGCAGUGCGUGCCCACCGACGGCUCCUUGAAUUUGCUGCCUUCACAUUUCCUUUGAUCCGGCGAUGCUCACUUUCUUUCAGCAAAGGAGUAGAAAUAUUUGUGCAAACAUCAUCGCAAUUUGUUGAGUUUCCUUCGUAAUGACCCUGAUUACAUGCUCUGCUGAACUGUGUUCAGAUGAGAUGUAUGUCUUCUCGACAAGCCAGAAGCGUGUCUCGGUUGAAUUUGUUGGCACAGACAAAGUUCAGCAGAAGCUCAACAACUUCAAUGAGUUGACCAGUGCAUCCGUUUCGUACAUGGGAGUGAGCUCAAUUGGAGCGCCAAAUGAACUAAAGAGUUUGGUUCCAAGUAAAUACUGCCUUAUGUUGUUUUUAUUGCAAAUAAGCCAUAAUGUGCGUAGCAAUUGGCGCAGAUGGUUCUGCUACAAUUUGUUUCUUCAGGGACUUAUGAAAGCCUAGGUUUCCAUUUGUUCUGACAGCUGUUUUGCAUGUUCCAGAUCUCAGACUUCUUGACUUAACUGGAAAUCUAUUCUCACAGUGGCAAGUAAGAAUUCCCACAGAACGAUUCUUGUUAUUUCAAUUGCUCUACUUACAAUUGGUGUGGCUUUAUAUAACAUCAAAGCAACAGAGAAACUGUGUUGGUGGUACUACCAAAUGUUUGCAGCAUAUCCCCUGACCAUCUUUGUUUAGCUGUUUGUUUAUUUGUUUGUUUGCUGUGUGUCUGAACAUUUUGGUUGCCUCUCAGGAUAUAUCAUCUCUUUGUCAAGCACUGGCAUCCCUGGAAGUUCUUAAUUUGACAAACAAUACCAUGGAGAGUGAUGUUGUAGAAACUCCAAUGCUCGAGAAUAUCAGAAUUCUUGUUCUCAACAACUGUGGUGUAACAUGGGAACUGGUAUACCCAAUUGCUGUCACUUUGAAGUUUUUCUUGUUUGUUAGUCAUUGCCAAUCACACUGUGAGCUCAUUUUAACUUCUUUGUAACAGGUUGAAAAGAUUAAAAUUUCCCUUUCAUGUAUCAGUGAACUCCACCUGAUGUCAAACAGGCUCAAUAUGAUCAUGGUUAGUGUUUCUUCUUAUACCGCAGCUUCCAUGUGCAUCCAUAUAUUAGAGAACACAUCUAGUUGUUUUUGGAUCAUUCUUCCCAAUAUUUCGAGUGCAUGUUUUUCUUGCUUCAUCAAGGUGUACAUCAACAUUACAAAUUAUGAUUUUUUGUACAUCUAACUGUAUCUCGCUUUCUUAUCUAGACCCCAGAUGGAAAGUUUGUACAAGGUUUCAAUACACUGUGGCUCCUAAAUUUAGAAGAUAAUCACAUUGAUUCAUGGGAUGAAAUUGUGAAACUUUCUUACUUAAGAAGGUAAAGAUGGAAAUAACCAUGUUUCCAUCCUUAAUUUGAUUGAUACUUCUGCAUUUGAUUUGUGUACUGUGAAUAUUUAUCAUCUCUCUCCCUUGUUUCUCCAGUUUGGAACAACUCCAUUUGAACAAAAACAGGUUAAAGCAUGUGAAGUAUCCAUCUAAUCUUUCACCAGAUGGACCUCUUGAUGAUACAGCUGCUGUGCCAUUUGAAAAUUUGCAAGUUCUUUUGUUAGGUAUAUGCCUUCUGUCAGCGGGGGUAGUUUUUUGUUGCCUUUGCCAUAUAAAGAACCCAAGAUUCGAGCAUGAUUCUGUUUAACUUUAGUAUUGCACAAGUGCUUCCUGCUUUUCAAAUGGAAGUGCUAAUAUUGAUUUUUUUAAGUUCACCAGGAUCUAAUGACAUAGACGACUUCUCUUCAGUGGAUUCACUUAACCUGUUCCCAAGUUUAAGGGUGAGCUAGUUUCAGUGAAUUACACACGUUUUUUGGAAUCUUGUUGCUGAUCUAUAAUACAUUGGUAUGACCAUACUGAUCUCUAUUUUUUUGAAGGAUGUCAGGCUUUCUGAUAAUCCUAUAGCUGAUCCUGCCAAGGGUGGUGCUCCUCGUUUUGUGCUUGUUGCUCGACUUGGGAAAGUUGGAAUACUAAAUGGCAGUGAGGUUUAUGCCAAUUCCCUUGAUGUUUUUUUUAGAAUGUACAAUAUGUUGUACAGAUGUAUGACAUCCUUAAUCCUUCUUGCCAUGUCUAGAUAAGCCCACGUGAACGGAGGGAAUCUGAAAUACGGUCAGUUGAUCCUUUGUAUCUGUAAAUCAUUCCAACUAGUAUAUGACCAUAUGAGGUUUCUUUGUGGUAUGGCUAGUCAUUUAGGAUAUCAGAUCUGUAUUAAUAUUAAUGGAAAUUUAAAAAUGUUUUCCCCCUAUCUGAACUGCACAGUUUUCUUCUGGUUCUCUGAGGAAGUGCUACUACAUUCUUUCGGGCAUUUUUUUAAAAAUAAAAAAGACCCUUCAAUUGCCUUUCUUGAAGUCACUGCAAUGCUGAUACAAGCAAUGUCAUUGUAGAUAUGUCCGCCUUGUUAUGGGAAAAAUAGAAUCAAAUGACCUAGAAGAGAUCAAACGGCUGCAUCCUAGGUAAGUUUGUGACAUUUAUCUCAUUCUUAUUAGGUUUUUAAAUUGUAUAUGCUGACACACCAUGAUCCAGAGAAGAAACAGUCCAUUGAUUUUGUGAUAUAAUUCUUUUUAGGGGUGACCGGGUGGGCAUUCAGUUUUUUUUGGUUUGGUUAAUUUAUCUUUUGGAAAUUUUGGCUCCUGACACUCGAAAAACAAAGCAAAUAAAUUUUGGUUUCUGAAAUUUAUAAGACAACAAUAGUUCAGUGGAAAUUCUUGGUUUCCACCGAUUUCUUUCUCGAACAACACAGGAGAGCUGUGUGUCAUUUCAUUAAGAAAGGAAAAACUUGCAAAAAAUGGGCCUUGGGCCUUCAUGUUGAAGUGGUAUCGGCCUAGCUUUCUUCAUCAGUUAUGUUGCAAGAAACUACAGCUGAACCGAAAAGUCGAAAACUGAGGAUAUAUGUUUCUUUUGCCUUCAAUGUUUGGUGUGUUUUUGCCAUCCCUAAUCUGUUUCAUAAAUGAUCAAGUUCAGUUAUUGCGCUGAAGACCAUCAUUAGCCACGACAUAACACAUUCAUUCAAUAUUCAAUGGAAUCAACAUCAAUGAUGCUGUGUAUCAUGCUUAUGCAGUGAUUAUCUCUAACCACGAGAACUGCAGCUGGCAUGAAUACCUAUGGGAUAUGCAAUGCAGAAUAAUUACUUCUGAGAUGUACUUGAUAGUUGCAUCACUAGUGAUAAGAUUGUUAAUGAUACUUAUACAUGUAGAAAAAAAAACUUGAUGCAGAUUUGCUGAACUGAAGUCCUUUCAUGGUAUUGAAGAUGAGAAGCCAACUUCAAGCACAUCGGGGCCACAAAAGAUGGCUUCUGGUCUUAUAAGUACUGAUCUUGAACUUUAAUCUUGAUAAGAUUUACACAGUUGAUGGGCCACCUCAAAGAAAUGGUUGUUUUUGUAUGCUGCAUGCAGGUGUUACAUUGAAAUGUGUGGGGGCAUCAAUGGGUGAAAAGCAACCACUGACAAAGAAACUGCCUCCUACAACAACUGUGAGUAGUUGUUGGUACUACAUAGCUAUCCUUAUUUAUCUGGUGGUUUGCGUUCUCUUGGGAGGUCCUAGUAUAUUUCAGUGCAAUGAUGGUGGGACAUGAUUUGCUGAUUUUUAUUCGAGCUAUCUCUUAGCAAUAAUUGAUAUGUUAAUUUGACUGCUGGUAACCAGUAAAAGUUCUGGUGCCUAGUAAUUCAAAGACCUUUACUUGUUUCUUCCAUGUAUCUAGAUGAAAUAACGUUUAGACUCCUAUCUGUUACAGGUAGGGAAGUUGAAAUCUUUGUGCGAAAGCUUCUUUAAACUGAAGGACAUAAACGUGAGACUGUUUGUCGAAGAAGAGGUAUGAAUUGUAACUGCGUCGUGCACGAUUAUUGUCUCAUAUACCUAUCGAAAAGAUCUGGUCCUGUACCUUUCAUGCAUUAAGUCGUGUAUGAUGACUGCUGCAUUUACUGGAACAGCGAUGCCCUCUACCACAACUUCUGGAGGAGGACACGGCCUCUCUGAUGGAGCUUGGAAUUGGCUCGGGCACAACCAUUGUUGUGGACGAAGAGAGCUAGCCAGUCGUCUUCAGAGACGUCGGCAACUAUAUGACUCAAACUACAGCUGUUAUUAGUCUUUGAAGAGAAGAGAGCUGAUGAUGCUCUUCGUUGUCCAUGUCCUGUAUAUUUCUCUCUGUGGAAAUGUGCAUUUGAUGAAUAUUGUUGUGUGUUUGGGCUACAAAAUGGAUCAGCACUGUAACAAUAUUUUGACAACGGUUAUUUGUUUUUGACAAGUUUUUUCUCCCUUCGCCAAUGGUAAUGAAGGGAUGGGUAAGCCUAUGUCUUUUGUGAUGCUCAAUUUGUAAGGUUCCUUGAUAUGAAACCGGAACUUGCUAUUUAGUUUCAAAUCUUUAGCUUUGCAAGGUCUGACUUACUACUUUUAAUGCUAACCAAUGUAUUAAUGCUAACCAAUGUAUUUGUCGACAACGAGGUAAGUCCAGUCUCCGUGUUUCAGAAGUAAUCUUCUCAAUAACUAUUGUCAAAAAAUCUUCUCAAUAACUGUUGCUUAAUAAUUAGAAAAAAAUUUCGAAACCACUGAUGAACAAUACAAAGUCGCUAUCGUACAAACACUGAUUGUAAAGUUAGACGUGUCACCCGUUGGUUGUCAUUGUCAAGCAAAGAUGGCCGGUGUCAAAAGUCCAAAACCCUUUUUUUAAUCUGUUUUUUUUAUUAAAAACUUUUCCUGCAGCUGCAGGAUUCAACGAUUUGCACUCCACCUGACGUUGCUUUGCCCGCAACUUUUGCUUGUCACGACGGAGGCCCGCCAGAUCCAGGUUCCUGGGCGACCUCCUCCAUUCCGGCCCUCUCGUCCUUCCAUCUCCGGCCCGUUCCUCGUCGGCGCACGAGCACCCAAGGUCCCCGGACUGCGUUCACCUCUGCUCUCCUUUUUCUUCUCCUGUUCGACAACUGUGGCGUCCGCCGCUGACGCCGUAAGCUAGGUGCCCAGGUCUUCGCCGGCGACGAGCACCCGCCACUCCACCAGGUAUGCGCACCCCCUUCUCCUCCCUUCCUGCUAUUUGUAUUCGGAUCUGAGACGAUUUUACAAGUGUAUUAUUAUGCCUACUAAACUAAGAAUUCUGUGCAAAAAUUAUUGUUUGUGCAUGUGUAUACCCAUGUCCUACUGUCCUGUACUGCUCCGCGCCCUGCCACUGCUCCCUUCAAUCAACUCCGGUACCACCAGGGGAUGCCCCGGGCUUAAUUGAAUGGGCUCUCUUCUCACCAGGACUGGCGCAUGGCUCCAGGCCAAGAUUUUUGAUCCCGUGCUGCAGGUCAUCAGAAGGUAGGGAGGGACCCUCACUCUUUCCCCAUCUGCUGCACUGCACUUCUUCAGCCUAAUCGCUUCAUUUCAGUAAUAAUAAUAAAUAGCUAAUGCGUCCUACGGACGAGCAUUUCAAACCAAGAUUUUGGCAUUCCGCUUGGCAGUACCUUGGUUCUUUGCACGCAUGUCUUCUCCAUCUGCAUCUUGACUCUUGAGGUUGUUGACAACCUUCUGUUGAAAUGGCGUGCAGGGGAGCAGAACCCAAGGAACUGGCCUUCUCUGCUGCCCUUGGUGUCACGAUUGGGAUCUUUCCAAUAUGUGGUAAGGAGCUCCCUAGCAUAUGCACUUCAUUGUGUUCUUAUCAUGCAUCUAAAGCAUGACCCAUCUUUUCUCAAAAAGAAAACCCCCCUUUUUUUUUGCUCUGGCAACCUAUAAGUACGGCAUAGAUUAAAUUGAGUCUAAAAGCUUCUCAAAUUUCAACGGUAGUCAUGCUUAAUCACCAAUCCUGCAUUAUAUCUAUGUAGCUGUGUAAUGAGUAACAGUAACAAUUAUAUGAAUUGGCGAUCCAGCCAUAUGUUCCUCAAAGCAUCAUCACUUAUCCUUGAAGCAUUUUGUGAUUCCAGGGACCACUGUUAUUCUUGGCGCUGUUGCUGUAGCAAUGUUGGGAAGUCGUUGCAAUGCUGUUACUGUUAUGGUUCUAAAUUUGGCCGCCACUCCAAUUGAGCUAAGGUAUGCACAGUCAAAUCUCCUGUGGCCAAAGCCAUACCUGAUUGGCUAUGAAGGUCUCAAAUCUCUGAGGUCAUUGCAUAGACCACGCUUGUAGUAGUAUGCUAGUGGCUGCUUCAAGAAACAAUCUUCAAUAAUUGUAUGUGCAUGUCACACUGCUGAUAUCAGUUAUUAUUGCCAUGAUUAUGGGUGUGACGAUUUUGCAGGCUCUAUUGAGUCUUAACUGAAUAUAUCAUCAAAUUCUGCCCUGUGCCAAUGAUCUGCUUCAUUCUGCUUUACAAUUCAACUGAGACAUGCUUUUCACAUGAAUGACCAAACUAAACAUCAGUGGUGUAGGCUUCUAAUCCAUCAUGUUUUCAAUUCAUUUGAAGCUACCUGAUGAGUUUCCAGUUCACCAAAUUCUUUCUUUCUGGUUUCAAUAUGUUUGGCUCUGCUAAUUGCUUAUCCCUUUUUCUGCAGCUUGAUCAUCCCUUUCUUGCGCUUGGGGGAAACCAUCACUGGCAGUGGCCACUUCGCCUUGACGGCCGACGCAUUGAAGAAUGUCCUCACUGGUCAUGCCUCAAAGGAUGUGCUACUGAGCAUCGUCCGUGCGGUUAGUGAACAGCCUUUCCGCAAUUAGUUCUGCUUAUUCAUAGGAUAGGAGCACUAUUUUACUCUUGCUUCGCUGCGACAUUGACAUAAGACUACUGCUAUUGUCGACAACAGAUGCUGGGUUGGCUCGUUGCUGCACCAUUUGUACUGGCCGUGCUAUACGUUAUUUCGUUCCCUUGUUUCAAGGUUCUGGUCAACAGGUUUGGCGGCAUUCCUUCGAGCCCCAGGACCCCAAUCAAGGCGGUGUAGCUAGUGUGGCAUGCUGAAUGCUCCUGAAAUUGUGUACACCAAAUUCUUUGUGAUGCCGUCGGGUUGAGAUGGGUUCCAGCAUCAUGUUGCUCGGCCAUCCCAGGCACUGGCGAAUAAAUACGACUUGAGAGGCAUGUGUCCUCUGUAAUUCUGUAUGCUGACUUGAUAAUCAUAUAGUGGGAUGUGUAUUUAUGAAUUUAUUUACAGUCUUCAAAUAAAGCUACGAAGUACAAAGGGCACGGACCACUGUGCCGGCCUUCCCAUUGUACGGCAUGGGCUGUGUUCAGCUAAAUUUUCGGUGGGCACUGUACAUGCGUGUAGGAAUUCAGAGGCAGCUGUUUGAAAUUUAAAUCAUAUGUUUUCAGUGGCCAGGUAACCUAUUGCUUAAGAAUCCUAUUAAAAUGUACUCUCUUUGUUUCAAAUUAUAAGAUGUUUUAACUUAUAUAUAUUGCUUUUAUUAUAUACCUAGACAUAGUGUAUGUCUAAGUGCAUUGUAAAAACUAUAUAUAUAGAAAAACCAAAAUAUCUUAUAAUUUGGAAUGGAGUAUGUUAUAUUCAUGAAUACACAUUUAAGUUAUUUAAAGUGCUCAUUUUAGUUCAUUAAAAAUAAUAUAGAAAUCUAUAUCUCUUAUAAUUCUAAACCCCACUAAAAGUCAAUCUUGCAUGCAUGCCAUCUAUGUCAGCAGGCCACUAGCGCAUGUAGUUAUAACACAUAUCUAUUUAUGCAAGUUAUCUACAUUAGCAAGCCGGUCAUCUAUCAUGUCAACAUGCCACACAAUUCACUAAAACUAAGAAAAUACCCUGUGCAUUGCUGCGGGAAUGCGGUGGAUUACAUGGUAUGAUGACGUGAACAAACAAAAUACUUAUAUGUCUUGUUGACGUGGACAUUACAAUUAUAUGACUAGUGGAUUUUAGUUGUGUGUAAUAGUGCAUUGCUUAGUUGAACAGCUUGCAUGUUGAGAUAAAUAUAAUACUUGCUGACGUGAACACUGCAAUUGCAUGGCCUAUUGGAUUUUAAUUAUGUGUGAUAGUGGGUUGCUUAGGUGGACAGCUUGCAUUUUGAGAGAAAUAUGUAGUGGGGUUUAGCUUUAUAGAAGUAUAAGAUUUAUUCGUGAUCCCUGCAGUGCAUAUAAAUAGCAUAAAGUGAUAUAUAUUAUAUAAAGAGAAGGGAAAUUAUUUUCUACUUCCAGGGAGUAGUUGACAAAGUGUAUAUAUAGAGAGAGAGAUGAUAGAGAUAAAGAAACAGAGAAGAUAUUUUUUUUAGAUAUUGAAACAAGGUUCUACCCUCUACUCCACCAAAAUAGAGUACACAGAGAGGAGAUAGAGAUACAGAGGUAAAGAAUCAGUGAAGGGAUAGAGAUAGAGAUACAUAGAGAUAAUAAAGAUAAAGAAGUAGAGAAGAGAUAGAAAUUGAGAUAGAGUGCAUAACAUAAAAUUUAUUUGAUGCGUGGCGUUGAAUGGAUGCACUCUGGACUCUAUAAAUAGGCACAAAGUGCUCUUUGCUUCUCCUUCUCACCCAACAAUUCAACAAAGCAACUCUUCAAUUCAACUCAGCCAUGAAGGGCGAGAUUGCAGCAACAGCCAUCAUGGUCUUGCUCCUCCUGACCUUGGGUGAUGAGUGACUCCAUCCAAACUCCAUGGCAUGCAAGCGAUAGGCAUCUACUACCUGUAGGCUGUAGAUCAUUCAUGAGUUAUUAGAUGCACUUGCAAACAUGAUAUCUAUACGUAUUAAUACUAUGUUUGAUUGGUUGUAUAGAUAAUCGAAUUUGAUUGUGCAUACGACGUCCAGGUGCUGAGGCCGACCAGUGCUUCACGCCUAGCAAGACCUUUGUAGCGUGGUGUGAGUUCAGCCCGGAUUGCGUCAGAGUAUGCAUAUAUACGCGAGGGCAGUACCGGCGGAUUCUGCAAGCUCGGGGUUUGCAUGUGCACUAGGGGUAAAGCCCCACAGGUGUCAGUAGCUGGCCAUAGUAGUUGAGAGCUGUGCGAUGGAACUACUCUCUUGUGCAUGCCAAACUCUAGAAGAGUUGACAUGAAUAAUGAUAAAAUGGUUUUGCCAUGCUAGCUCUGGACUAUUGACUAAUAUAUGUUAAAUGAUUUUAUUACUUUAUUAUAUGAUGAGUGAAUAUCGGUUGUGUUUGUUCUUAGCGAAUCUGUUUGAUAAGGUUAUUUGUUGAUUCAAUUCUACCAACGGAGCGACACGGAGCAUAAACAUUCGAUAGAACGAAGGAAACUCAUGCACGGAUUAACAGUGCGAUGAGGCUUAGGCGCUUAGCACUACUAUAAAAAUAAAAAUUUUGUAGCAACAUUUUACUACCGGUUCACCCAAAGCCGCUUGUGCUUCACUACUAGAGUACUAGUACAUAGCACAAAUCCCUGGUGAUCCGGUUUUACUGCCAGAUCCAUAAGACUAGGGAUAUACAGAGGUAAUUUCUAUUGAACACUAUUAUAUAUGGUAAAAGCCUAAAAGAAUCAGUCAUCUUGUGACAGAGGCAUGUGUUAGCAAUGUUGUCGCAUAACCAUUGGCCAGUUUCUAAAAAAUACUUAAAAUUUUUUAAAAUUUCUUAUCACAUCGAAUCUUGCGGCGCAUAUAUAAAGCAUUAAAUAUAGACGAAAACAAAAACUAAUUGUACAGUUUGCCUGUAAAUCGCGAGAUGAAUCUUUUAAGCCUAAUUAGUUCAUAAUUAAACAAUAAUGCCCUGUCAGCGGAUUUAUUUUGGAAACAGUGCAUUGAAACGGGCUACUGAGACUGGCCUAUGCAUGUUUCAUAAGAGUGGCAUGCACAUUAAAUAGGGUGCCACAUAAGCAAAAUUGGUGACUUGACAGAAUUAUUAAGGUUAGUCUCAAUGCACAGUUUUAUGACACAGUUACCAAGACUAGUUAAUAAACUAGGUAACCGAGCCACAAGAGUUUCAUGGGGAUGAAACUCCUCUCUCAUCUGAUGAAACUUCUUCAUUUAAUAACUCUGCCAAGUCAGCAAUUUUGCUUAUGUAGCACCCUAUUUAAUGUGCAUGACACUCUCAUGAAACAUGCAUUGAGACUGACCUAAAUGACGUAGUUUCAGAGAAGUUUUAUCCCUAUAAAACUCAUAUGGCUCGGUUACUUAGUUUAUAAUCUUGAUAACUGUGUUAUGAAACUAUGUAUUGAGACUGGCAUUAUAGUGCCUUGUCAUGCAUAUAGCGUGGCCCGAGGGUUUAGUUUUAAAAAAAUCCGUGUUAAAAUUAAAAUUAAUAAAAAAAGUUAAAAAAAUUCGCGGUCCGUACACCAUUCAUGGCUAUUAUCAGGGCACUCACAAUGCAGACUCUAUCAUAGAGUCUAAAGUUAUUUAUUACCUCGAACAAUGUGGACUUGGAGUCUAAAUAAGACUUGGAGUCUUAUUUUUUCUACAUCUUUCUUCAAUAAAUAUGCUGUCACAUCAGCAAAAUAUCAUAAAUAAUAUGUAAUUAAAUGUCUUGGACUCUGUGAUGGAGUCUUGCAUUGCGAGUGCCCUCAGUCCAAUCCAAGAGCCUCCAUUAACCUCACGAGUGUCGAGUCACGUACCAACUCCCAAGGCACUCCAACAGUCCAACUCCGAUCUUUUGCCCAACCCGCCGGUGCGGUGCGUGGGAGGCGAGGCGUCAUGCAUGCAAUAGUGCGUUGACGACGCUUCGACCGCAAUCUGCGCCGCGUUCGCUGCUCUGCUCUGCUGCUCACCGGUGAAGGUGCGGCGGUGCCGUUGCAUGCAUGCAUGCAGCAUCCGUUCCAAAGGUGCCUAUUAAACCGGCCUCCUUCGCCCUCCAACUCCAAAGGAGUCUAGCUCCCAAUCGCUCGCUCUCCUUCCAGUCACAGUCAGAAGCAUAGCAUUCGGCCGGCGUGGACGACGACGACGGCAACAUGCAGCAGCCAGGCAGCGGCGGCAGCGCCCACCCCUCCUCCUCCCUGCCGGAAGCGGCGGCGCUCGACGUCCCUGGCCGCCCGGACUUCGUCACGGUGAUCGAGCCCCGCGAAGAUCGCCCCAUCCCCGCGACCGCGGUCCGCGCCGUCACCCCAGAGCGCGAGCGCCGCACCACCCGCCCAGAGUCCGUCAGGGUGUACGUCCACCGCGCCCGCCGCCCCAACCCAGACAGGCCGAGCCUCGGCCGACGCAUCGCCUACGCGUACAUCACCCCGGCCGCCGGCGGCGCCGCGGCGUCGUGCAAGGCGGACCCAGGGCCCUUCAUCCGCCGCGCGAUACGCGCCGCCGUCCCGCGCGAGCGCUUCGAGCUCCAGGGGCCUGGCGGCCACGGCUCCGACCGGACGGUGAUCUUCUGCUCGCCCGAGGACCGGGAGGCGGCCAUGGAGAAGCAGCCCUUCUUCGCGCUGGACGACGGCGGCGCCGCCGGCGCCGCCUCGUCGGUGCGGCUGGUGCGCGAGGGGGAGACCAGCAACGUGCGCCGCUUCCGGAUGGACUCCCUGGCGCACGUCGCGCUGCUCAACUAUCCCAAGGAGCAGCGGAACGAGGAGGACAUCCGGAGGAACUGCAGCGGCUUCGGGUACCUGCUGGAGGUCGACCCCGGCUGCUACGACGACGACGCGCCCGACCUCUCCCCGGUCCGCGUCGUCCUCAGCAUGGAGCACCACCGGGAGAUCCCGCGCGAGGUGCGGAUCAGGUACGGCUACGAUUUCAGCUUCCGCAACGUCGUGCCGGUGCAGAUCCUCAGGCUUUGGGACAGGUCGCUGUCCACCGACACCGACGGCAAGUACGUGCCCAUGUACCCCGCCGCGGCGGGGGCGCCGGCGGCGGCUGGCACUUAGUAGUCUGCAUCCUUCCGGUUCCAUUCCAUGAUCGAUGUGCCACCUGUUGGGUUGAUCUCUAUCUCUGACCCAGCCCAACGGCUGGAGCCAGAUCCCUUUUGACCAAGCCCUGAUCGGGGGCACUCAACCACCCAUUGGAGUGGUGGGGCCCCUGGCGCGCUGCACUAUAAGUAUAGAAGGUGGGGGCCGCAAGCAUGAGAGAGGAGUUCGCGACUGAACGACUGACCCCACUCGACUCAAACCCUAGAGCCAUCCGAUCCGGCCUGUGCAGCAGCGUCGGGAAGUGCCACCACGCCGCCGUCCUCCUACGAAGUGCGGACCCGAUGGCCGACGUGAUCUACACCGCCAUGGACGCAGCGAUGGUCUAAUCCUAUCCUCUAAACCUCUCUGUUUUUCUCUCUGUGUAGUAGAUCUAGUGCAUACAAGUGCAGUUGCACUACCUAUGUUCAUUUGCUAUAUUUAUUGUACUCGAAUCCCGAUCUAUUCUACUGCUAGAUGAUCCUAAAUAUCUAUCAAUGGUAUCAGAGCAGGUUUAGCAUGUAGAUAGGUUUUCGGAUUCGCCCGAAAGUCAAUCACAAGAAAAGCAAAAGAAAAAUGGGAUUUUCACCAAAUCUCUAACCCUAGCGCAAGAAGACCGAGAUCGGGGGAGGGGUUUUCAGAACCCUAACUCUAAAGCAAGGGGAAAGGGCGGCUCUACCUGGUGCCUUCCCAUCCCAGCCUCACCGUCGGCCAUCACCAUGGCCGACGAGGCGUCAAGACCGAGGAGGUCCCCCGCGUGGACGUCAGGCGCAGGGCACCGACGCGAACCCCAUCGACGGCGGCGCGCUCACCCACCAGUGGGAGCGCGCGCUCCGGCGAUAGGAACCGCGGCGGCGCCACUCCCUCCGGCUGACGAGGCAAGCGCUGCUGCUGCGGCGUCCCUGCGACUGCUUACGGCGCGGGCUGGAGAGAGCAAGCGAGAGAAGGCCAUCGCCGGCGGUGGCCCUGCUGCUGGCCGCAGUGCCGGCGGCGGCGGCUCCCUGCCGUCCGGGGCGCUGAGAGAGAAAGGGCAGAGAGAAGAGAGAGAGAGGGCGACGGCAAGAAUGAGGGCUAGGGUUUCAGUGGCAGCCAACUGGGGGGUUUUGUUCACCCGAGAUCAAAGGAGGGCCGUCGGAUGCAGAUCAACGGCCAAGAUUGCGUCGGGCCAAAUAUGGCCCAGGCGGGGGCGCAGAUUCCCGGCCCAGGCCCAGGUUGCGGCCUGGGCGCGGGGAGGAGCAAGCGGGCGGCCGAGCUGGGCCAAGCCCAGACAGAGAGCGAGCGCACAGGCCGUUUUCCUUAAUAGGCUGCGACUGCUGGGCCGAAAAAAAAAUAAAUAAAUAAAAAAAAAAUAAAAAAAAAAAUAUAUAUAUAUGUAUAUAUAAGGGGCAGCAGCUGCGCGCUGCUGGGCCAUUUCGCCCGAGUCGGCCCAGUCUGCGGUUUCCCACCAGCGGCCAGACUGGACGGAAAGAGGCCGUGGGCCGCUUGGUCCGCCCAGGCCCGAACGUGCACAGAAAUUUUAUUUUAUUUCAUUUUCAGAAGCUUUUGAAUAAUUGUUUUGCUCAGUUUUAAACUCUAUUUAAUUGCACCAACGUGUUUAUUAUUUAGAGAGUAAAGUCAGCAAGUUAUGCUUCUGAAAAUAGCAAGUCAAUUAAUGUUUCCGCUGCGCAAGUUGUUGUUUUAAUUCUCAUAUUAAAUUGAACCAACGGGAUAUUUAAUUUGAGAAGCCGAGUUUUCAAGCACAGAAUUCUUUGUAAUAUUGUUAAUUUUUGACCAACGUCAAUAAUAGCAAUAUUGCAAAUUCCAAGUUACAGCAAGUUACGAUUCUAGCAAGUUAAUUUACGUUUUCCGCUGCGCAAGACUUUUUUAGUUCUCUUAUUAAAUAGAACCAACGGGAUAUUUAAUUCGAGAAGCAAGUUUUAAAGCCUAGAAAUUUUUGUAAUAUCGUUAUUUUUGACCAACGUUAAAAAUAGCAAUAUUGCAAAUACCAAGUUCCAAUUUUAAGCAUUUAUUCUAUUUUGCCCAACGGUGAUUAGAUUUUAUGCAGCAAGUUAAUUUUGUAUAUCUUAAUUUCGACCAACGUUAAAUUAAUAUAUUCAAUCAUACUGCCAAGUUUUAAGUGUUGGUGUUCUCACCAUCUUCUCAUCAUUAUUUCAGAGCAAGUGUUGCACUUCAUUAGUGCAAUCCCACAGCAAGAGAAUACCUCAAGAAAGUGCAGAAUCAGGUCAAUGCCUAGACAAAGGGAUUUACAUGAUGUCUUUUAUGUUCCCUCCAAGCAAAGAUGAUUGAAAGCUACAGUUAUAUAAUAAAUAUGUGGGUCUUGCCUUCCGACAAGACAAACCUUAUUUAUUAUUCAUGUCUGAGACUAUGAAUGUUGAAUGUAAUAAAGCUGAGAAUGCAAUGACCGCAAAUGCUAGCAAGAAAAGAAAGAGAAUUGAUUCCUCAUCGAAAUUAUGGCACUGUCGUUUAGGCCAUAUUUCGAGGGGGAGAAUAGAACGCUUAGUCAAAGAAUCAAUCCUCCCACCAUUAGAACUCUCAGAGUUAGAGCAAUGCGUUGAUUGCAUUAAAGGCAAGUUAGUAAAGAACAUAAAGAAAGGCGCUAAGCGAAGCAUGGGAGUACUAGAAUUGAUCCACACAGACAUCUGUGGACCUUUUCCAGUGACAUCUGUGGAUGGUUUUGAUUCCUUCAUCACAUUCACAGAUGACUACUCUCGUUUUGGAUACAUCUAUCCAAUCAAAGAACGCUCAGAAGCUUUAGACAAAUUUAAGAUAUUCAAGGCUGAGGUUGAAAACCAACUAGACAGAAAAAUCAAAGUAGUAAGAUCUGACCGUGGGGGGGAGUAAUACGGUCGACAUACCCCUUAUGGACAAGUUCCUGGACCUUUUGCAAGGUUCUUACAGGAAAAUGGCAUAGUAGCUCAGUAUUCAAUGCCAGGGGCCCCACAACAGAAUGGAGUAGCAGAAAGGCGUAACCGUACUCUAAUGGAUAUGGUGCGCAACAUGAUGAGUCAUUCCACUCUGCCACUGAGUUUGUGGAUGGAGGCCUUAAAAACCGCCAUUUAUAUUCUCAACAGAGUUCCAAGCAAGUCAGUACUUAAAACCCUGUAUGAGUUGUGGACCGGCAGGAAACCCUCAGUCAACCAUCUGCGUGUCUGGGGGAGCCCCGCUGAAGCAAAAGUGUUUAACCCAAACAUAGGAAAGCUAGACCCCAAAACAGUAAGUUGUCAUUUCAUUGGCUAUCCAAAAAAAUCGAAAGGUUAUCGUUUCUACUACCCUGGUAGACAUACCAAGUUUGUGGAAACGAGACACGCUAGUUUUCUAGAAGAUCAGAUGAUCAAGGGGAGCAAGGCAGCGCGAGAAAUUAACCUUGAAGAGAAGCGGGUGUUCGUGCCCAUUCCCAUGGUGCAAGAACCCUACUUUACGCUGCCUGUUGUUGUUGGAUCUACUCCAGUAGUGACAACACCUGCUGCUUUUUCGCCUAUGGCUAAUUUUGGAACCUGUCCCUCAGGAGCCGAAUGAACCCAUAGUCGAAGAACAACAGCCCCAACAAGAGCAACCUCAAGAGGAAAUGCCAGUAGCAGAAACUUCUGGCAGACCUCAAAGAGCAAGAAAGUCUCCUAUUCCAGAUGACUAUAUAGUCUAUGAAUGCGAAGAAGUUCAGAUGGAGGAUGAACCCACUUCAUUUGAAGAAGCCAUGAGGAGCACCGAAGCAUCUAAGUGGCAAGAAGCCAUGGAAGAUGAAUUAAAGUCUAUGAAUACCAAUAAAGUUUGGGACCUAGAAGAAAUUCCUGAAGGAGCCAAAACAGUAGGCUGCAAAUGGGUCUACAAGGUGAAACGUGACUCCAAAGGGAACAUAGAAAGGUACAAAGCAAGACUGGUAGCCAAGGGUUUCACUCAGCGAGAAGGGAUAGAUUAUAAUGAAACAUUCUCUCCUGUCUCGAGCAAGGACUCUUUUAGAAUCAUAAUGGCCCUAGUGGCACAUUUUGAUCUAGAAUUGCAUCAAAUGGAUGUGAAGACAGCUUUUCUCAAUGGGGAUCUAGAAGAAAGAGUAUACAUGGCACAACCGAAAGGUUUUGUUGUGACAGGCAAACAAAGAAUGGGCUGUCGCCUGAAGAAAUCCAUUUAUGGAUUAAAGCAAGCAUCCAGACAGUGGUAUUUGAAGUUUGAUAAGACAAUCAGAAAGUUUGGGUUUUAAAGAGAACGUUGAGGACAAUUGCGUAUAUGCAAAGUUUAAGAAUGGGAAAUACAUUUUCCUAGUACUGUAUGUAGAUGACAUUCUACUAGCCAGUAGUGAUGUCACUCUACUACAGGAAACCAAGAGAUUUUUGUCCUCAAAUUUCGAUAUGAAAGAUUUAGGUGAAGCUUCUUUUGUCUUGGGCAUAAAGAUUCACCGAGAUUGAAGUCGAGGGGUAUUGGGAUUGUCCCAAGAGGCAUAUGUAGAGGAAGUAUUGAAAAAAAAAAAAAUUCAAUAUGCACAAGUGUAGACCUUCACCUGCUCCUAUUGUAAAAGGUGACAAGUAUGGGGAACAUCAAUGUCCCAAGAGCAAGUUCGAGCGCGAUCGCAUGCAAGCCGUUCCAUACGCUUCAGCUGUCGGAAGCUUACAGUAUGCUCAAGUGUGCACACGCCCAGACCUGGCUUUUAUGACCGGGCUAGUUGGUAGAUAUCAAAGUAAUCCAAGUAUGGAACACUGGAAUCUAGUAAAGAAAGUCUUAAGAUACUUACAAGGCACGAAAGGGCUCAUGUUAACCUAUAGAAGAUCUGAUGACCUACAAAUAGUAGGGUAUUCAGAUUCUGAUUACGCGGGAGAUGAUAGAAAGUCUACCUCAGGGUACAUAUUCACUCUCGCGCAAGGAGCCAUAUCAUGGAAGAGCUCAAAACAAACAAUAGUCACUGCAUCGUCCACAAUGUAUGCUGAGUUUAUUGCUUGUUAUGAGGCAUCAGGACAGGUGAAUUGGCUUAAGAAAUUUAUACUCAGUUUAGAGGUGGUCGACAGCAUCGAUAAACCACUAAAGUUGUAUUGUGACAACGAGCCAGUAGUGUUGUAUGCUCACAACAAUAAGUCAAGCAAUGCCACCAGGCACAUUGACAUAAAACAUUAUGUUGUGAAGGAUAAAAUCUGGGAUCACGUCAUAAGUCUUGAACAUAUAAGCACAGAAAAGAUGCUAGCGGAUCCGCUUACAAAAGGCUUACCGCCCAAUAUGUUCAGAGAACAUAUAGCCGGCAUGGGUUUAAGGGAAAGCCUGUGAUUCCCGAAUAGCAAGGGGCCCAAGGCAAGAAUUUAUCUCUAAACAGAAAAGUGUUUGUGGCUGUCUAAUCUAACAGUAAUAACUGUUAAGAUGAAACAUGCUCAAUACACUAAUUUGUGAUGAGGUGAGUUAACCAAGCGAAAGAGCAUAGAUGAGAUCAAGGGGGAGAAUGUUGGGUUGAUCUCUAUCUCUGACCCAGCCCAACGGCUGGAGCCAGAUCCCUUUUGACCAAGCCCUGAUCGGGGGCACUCAACCACCCAUUGGAGUGGUGGGGCCCCUGGCGCGCUGCACUAUAAGUAUAGAAGGUGGGGGCCGCAAGCAUGAGAGAGGAGUUCGCGACUGAACGACUGACCCCACUCGACUCAAACCCUAGAGCCAUCCGAUCCGGCCUGUGCAGCAGCGUCGGGAAGUGCCACCACGCCGCCGUCCUCCUACGAAGUGCGGACCCGAUGGCCGACGUGAUCUACACCGCCAUGGACGCAGCGAUGGUCUAAUCCUAUCCUCUAAACCUCUCUGUUUUUCUCUCUGUGUAGUAGAUCUAGUGCAUACAAGUGCAGUUGCACUACCUAUGUUCAUUUGCUAUAUUUAUUGUACUCGAAUCCCGAUCUAUUCUACUGCUAGAUGAUCCUAAAUAUCUAUCACCACCUACUUUUGGUGGGCUGCAGGGGCUUCUUGCUGCAUGCUCCUUUGCUUAAAUCCUCAGCCUCCAUGCUAUCUUAUUAUGUGUGUUGAAGCUGCAAUGACAGCAGGUUAAUAAUGGUCGUGGAGCAAGGUCGAUUGAUGAGUGCUUGGCGUCAUGGUCUAAUCCUCCCAGGAGAUUAGUCCAAAGUGUCUAUUCUGUGUCGUGUGUCGUCGAUGGUAGAAGCAACUGUGUUCAGUAUCGCUUGUCUCAUUGUCUGGGGCUUUUAGAGAUGUGGCGGAAGCUAAUAGCUUGCUUUGUAAUCAUCUUUAUUUUCUAUGAAAUGAAAUGAAGGUCUCCGUGUAGAAACGAAUUUAUGGUUACCACCUUCAUUUCUGGUUAAUAUAAUGCAUCUCCUGCAGUCCUGCAUGCGUGUUUAAUCCGUAAGAAAUAACUAUCUUUUGUCAUGCUUUCGAAAUAAUGACAAAAGACCAAUCUACUUACGUAUGGUGUAUCCGCUUUAUCUAUAUUGACGUUUAAAAAAAAUGUUAUUCCUCUAUCCAGAUCAAUAUUUUAAUAAACAUGUACCUUCUGCAUUUGUAUAUUUUAAUAAUAUAGGUAGCAUUAAAUAUAUAAUAUAUAUCUAGUACCACUUUAAAAAAUGACUACGAGUAUUGUGCGCCCGCACCGUGCCCCCGCACAGUCUUAAAAAAAAUCCGUUUCCAACUAGGAAAAUAAAUAAAAAGACUCAAUCAAAUAAUUUAAAUUUUAACUAAAAUUACAUUAAAAAUACUCUCACUCAUAAAAUAAAAUAAAAUAAAUAUUAUUAGAUUAGUUAAAUAUAUUUUUAUAAUAAAUUUAUUUGAGAUAUAAAUAUAAAUAUUAUUUUUUAUAAACUUAGUUAAACUUGAGCGCACGCUUCUCAUAGUUGAGUACUAGCAACCUGCGCUGUUAUACGAGGGCUUCCCCAACAAGGACACAAAUAGCUAGCAGAUAUUGUAUUAUAUUCAGGCCUUUGUUUAAUUCGUAAAAAUUUUGAUUUUUGGCUAUUGUAACAUUUUCGUUUUUAUUUGACAAACAUUAUCCAAUCACGGAGUAACUAGGCUCAAAAGAUUUAUCUCAAAAAUUACAGAUAAAUUGUGCAAUUAUUUUUUAUUUUUAUAUAUAUUUAAUGCUUCAUACAUGCGACCAAAAAUUCGAUGUGAUGAAGAAUCUUAAAAAUUUUUGCGAAGCCUCUGUACAGAUGAGAUAAUGCUAAAAACACCCUCGCUAGUCGCUAGCGAGAUGCCAAGCAGCUAGCUCGCGCGGUGUUGAAGAAUUUCACUAUGGUCGUGUUUAGUUUCCAAAAUUUUUCAAGAUUUUUGGUCACAUCAAAUCUUGCGGCAUAUGCAUAGAGCAUUAAAUAUAGAUAAAAAAGAUAACUAAUUGCACAGUAUACCUGUAAAUUACGAGAUGAAUCUUUUAAACCUAGUUAGUCCAUAAUUGGACAAUAAUUGUCAAAUAAAAACGAGAAUACUACAGUAAACUCUUAGCAUAGCUCACAGUUUUUUUUUCACAGCCCAAAGCGCAACCAAACAUACAAUAAGGCCCCUAGAGCAACUCCAGCCCAAGCCCCUAAAUUAAGCCUUUAAAUUUUUAUUUACAUGCUAUGAUAAAAAAAGUAGGAGCUCAAAUUAAGACCCAACUUCAACCCACCUCCUAAACAAGUAGGAUAGGGGGUUAGAGAUGUAAGGGGUUGAAACUAUAAUUUACGAGGGCAUGAAAAAUGAGAGCCCAAGUAGAAGGUGGGUUGGAGUUGAUUUUUUUAUCAAGUCCCUAGAUUUAGAAUAGGGACUUGUUUAGGAGGUGGGUCACCAGAAAUCCUCACGCAGUUAACAUGUAUGAUUAACAUGUAUGACUCGGUUGCAAUUGCAAACUGUUAGAUAUGUACAAGUGUUUGACCCUCAAAACUGCACGACACCAACAUUCACGUUGUCGGGGACAUUUUCUAUUUCUCUACGAUGAACUGAAGAAAAGAAAAAACUAUUCCACUGUUAUCUGAAGCACGGUGGUGAGCCUCGGUUUCCUAUACCUCCUCAGCAGCAGCGACGAACACACCACGCUGACGGACGAGAAUGCCAUGCACGCGCCAGCCAGCCAAGGCGGCAUCUGGACCCCGGUGAAGGGAAACAGCGCGCCAGCAGCCACGGGGAUGGCGAUCACGUUGUACGCCAUGGCAAAGAAGUAGUUCCACCGGAUCCUGCUGAAUGUCUUCCUUGAGAGGUCAAUAGCUGUGAUCACAUCCUCCAGGUUGUUCCGGACGAGCACAUAGUCAGCCGCCUCAAUAGCAAUGUCAGUGCCUGCACCGAUAGCCAUACCAACAUCAGCGGCGGCCAGGGCAGGCGAGUCGUUGAUGCCAUCUCCGACCAUUGCGACAACACUGCCAUCCUUUUGCAGAGAGCGGAUUACAUUGGCUUUUCCGGCUGGCAUAACCUCGGCUCUCACGUCGUCAAUGCCAACCUGCAGAAACCCGUAAUUUCAGGAUUUCACAUUUCAUACCAGCAAGUUAAUAAAUGUUCUGGUGUAAGUUGCUUAAACUACUGUUGGCAACUAAAACUGACCUCCUUUGCAACUGCUCGUGCAGUCCUCCAGUUGUCCCCAGUGACCAUAACUGGAUGAACACCCAUCUUUUUUAGACCUUGUAUAACCACAGCAGCCUCCCUUUUCAAGGGAUCAGUUAUCCCAAUCAAGCCAAUGAAGUCUCCAUCAUAUGCUACGAGAAUACCAGUUUUUGCAUUCAGCUCCAUGUCUACCAAGAAACAUUCAGCUUCUUCUGGAAUGUUUACCCCAUUUUCAGUUAUCAAUGCACGAUUCCCUACCUGCAUAAGUAUUUAAGCAUCAACAUGUCAUAUUUACUCGUCAUAAAUCAAGUCCAAGCUCCAAUUAUUUGAAGGGCAAAGUAAAAGCAAAGCUAUAUUCUCCAACUCACCAAAAUUUUCUUCCCAUUGAUCCAACAUUGAAUCCCUUUGCCAGGCAAGGCAGAAAAGUCCGCAACUUCCAGAAGCCACUGAGAAAGUAUCUCUUCUUUUCUUCUAUUAAUGUUGUCUUUUGCUGAGGUAAGUUUGCCAAAGAAAUGGAAAUGAAAUGUAUAAUCCAAGAUAGCUUUUGCAAGUGGAUGCUCACUGCUUGCCUAAUAAAUUAGAAAAACCAAAAUAAGUUUAGCAGUUACAGCUUGCCACUUUGCUGGAAGCAUCAUAGGAAAGUAAUAUGCAAGAGUACACUUUUUUCCCCUUUUUGUUCACCUCACCUCAGCAGAUGCUACCAAUGUGAGAAAGUCCCCCAGAUCCAUUCCUGAAAAAAUCUUUGCUGUUGUUACAGUAGCCUUUCCUUGGGUCAGUGUUCCGGUCUUGUCGAAAAUAACAUAUUUCACAUUCUGAGCUCUCUCCAGGGCAUCUCCGCCCUUUACAAGUACUCCAUGACUAGCCCCAACUCCAGUUGCUACCAUAACAGCAGUUGGUGUUGCCAGACCAAGAGCACAUGGACAAGCAAUCACCACAACAGAUAUGGAGAACAUGAGGGAGAAAACAAAGCAAUUGCUACUUUCAGCAGACCAUGAGUUUGGAUAUGCUCCCAACCAUCCACAUAGAAACCUAGAAAGUCAAUAAUGCACGAGUCAGAAAAAUAAAUUCAUACCCACAAUACUGACCCCAGAGAUGUUGAAACUUACCAUGCAAGAAAUGUCAAGAAGGACAGGGUGAUGACAAUAGGAACGAAAAUGCUAGCUACCUGAAAUGAGGUAAUGUCAGUACAAAAGGGGCAUGCAAUUAUAGGUGUUCAUAAUAGAGCAAAAGGCCACUGCAUAUCAAGGAUUUAUGUCAUGUGUGCUAUGGUCUAUCCAAGAUUUUUUGACAGAAAAAAAUAUGAAUGUAAGAAAGGUGCUCUGUAAGAAUUUAGAAGAAGAUGAAAAAAAUCAACCGGGUCAUAUCAGGUAACCAUCAAACAAAUGUAAAAUUUUGUCAUAAAUGAUUUAAUUUUCUCUACGAGACACUUUAAGUAGAAAAGGCAAAGUCAAUGUUUAACCAAUAAUAACAACAUAGCAGAUUUAAGUUGCCCAAAACAAUGCUUUGCAGAUUUAAGAUUACAAUAUAGAGUUAAGAGACUAUUUUUAUAAUCUAAGGAAUUGAUAAGUGUACUUACAUAAUCAGCAAACUUCUGAAUAGGGGCCUUAGACAUCUGGGCAGUUUCAACAAGAGAAAUUAUCUGGCUCAGAACUGUCCCAGAUCCUACUUUAGUCGCUUGUAUAUGAAGAAUACCAUGCAAGUUCAUUGUGCCUCCAAUUACUAGACUGGAUACUUCCUUGGAGAUUGGUACAGAUUCACCGGUUACCAUACUCUCAUUGACAUGACUUGUACCCCAAAUGACGAUACCGUCUGCAGGAACCUUUGAACCAGGAAGCACUUUUAAGGCAUCACCAGGUUGUACUAACGAUGCGUCAAUCUCCUUCUCUCCUGAAUAUUUUCCCUCUGUAUUUGAGGAAAAUAUUCUGAGUUUAUGUGUACAACUAACAGAAAAAAGAAAGAGAAAAUGCCAUAAAGACUAUGUGCAGGAGGCUACUCUAAGCAACCAGUUAAGAUGGAAUGCACCACCAAGAAGAAGAUUAAGGUUUACAAUAUGAAGACUACGUCUAUAAGCUUUCUAGGACUGCUAAGCGUUAUUACUGCAGGUGGUUGCAUAGUUGGAUCAGAUACCUUUGUCCUUCAGAAGUAGAAGAGCUGUAGCAGGAGCAAGCUCUACAAGCUUCUUGAUAGCAUCUGAUGUCUUUCCUUUCGCAAGCACCUCAAGAUACUUCCCAAAUAGCACAAAUGUAAUUAUCAUUGCACUCGUCUCAAAAUAUAUUGGAGGAUGAAAUCCAGUGAAUGCCCCAUAAAGAAGUGCACAAACAGAGUAGACAUAUGAAGCAGUAGUGCCAAUAACAACUAAGACAUCCAUAUUUGUAGAGCCAUGUCUUAGGGCCCUAUAAGCUGCAACAUAGAAUCGUUUGCCAACAACAAACUGUACCAUGGUCACCAGAAUCCACUUCAACAGAUCUCCAAUACGAAAUGGCCCAAAGUGCAUGAGUAGGAAUGAACUAAUCAGAGGUAUGUGAGGGCAUACCAUGCGGAUGAAAAAUACAGGAAUCUGGUGCAAGGAAAUGAAUGCAGAGUCAGUAUGCAAGUAACACACACUGUCAAACAGUAUGUAUAGCAUCGAAAAUUCAACAUAAACAUGUCAUCAAAGGCACAUAACUAAAUCUUUAGGAUAGCAGGGGAAACUAAACUUACACUUAGGAAUAAACUAAAGCGAAGAAGGUGAAGCGUCUUAUUUGCCUCCUGUGCAUCAUUUGAAGCAGCUCGUAUGUAUGGAUUCUGUACAUGAGCUUUCAGUCUAUUGUUGCUUUCCAUCUCGAUGGUAUCUACAAUCUGUCUCAAACCAACUACUUCAGGGUCAAAUACAAUGUCAACUUCUGAUUUCGCAAAAUCUACACCAAACUGACGCAACCCUUCCAUUUUCUUCAGUAUAUCAUGCAAUACAUCUACAUCUCCCUCAAAAUGCAACCCUGUGACAGUUAAUAAGGCUUUGUCUUGCUCACUACUUUGCAACAGCGCAGCAUCAAAACCAGCAUCCUCGAUGGCCUGAACAAUUUCAUCUUUGCUAAUGGCAGAAGGAUCAUAUUCAACUUCACCCAAUGAGGUCGCUAAUGCAACAACUGCUCUUUUUACACCUGGCAAUUUUUUUAAGAUCCCCUCAACCGAGUUCACGCAUGCAGCACAAGUCAUUCCCCCUAUCCUAAAUUGUCCUGACAAAGUCUUCUGUGAUUUUGGCUGAGAAACAGUAGAGUCAGGAAGAAUUUCCGCUUCGAACCCAGCAUCUUCUAUUGCUUCUACAAUGUCAUCGUCCUGCAUACAACAAGCUUUAAACAUUAAAAAAGGGACAAAUAAAUCUUGAGUAGAAAACUUCCUGUUGGGGCCCUUGCAGAGACUUAAAGUAAAAGGAAAUGAGUUGCUAGGUAAUGGUUGCAGACUAGCAACGUGUCAAAUAGUGAAGCUAUUUAAAACGACAAACAUCUAUUUUAGCUGGAGAUUGCUUCCAUUCUAUCGAUCCCACUGAUAAAGCUUCCAAACACAGGAAACAUUUCGCCAACAACAUCAACUAAUAAAAAUCGCAACCUAUCUGCAGGUCCAAUGAAUUCAAACCACCAGCUUCAACCAGAAGAGAAGAGAGAAGAAAUUCAAACGGUUACCGAGUUACGUACUUCUGAAGCUCCUCUAAAUGAAGAGGAGCUAAGCAGACAUGUACAUCUCCUAUCCUAACCACCCUAACCAACAGGCCGUAGUUCAAUUUCCCGCCCCAAGCUCCGCAAUUCCCCAACGCAACGCAACACAACGCCAGAACUCGACAGAAUUUGUAGCGCACAGAGCUAGGGGGGAAAACUAUCCAUCGAGAGGGCGCGCGGGGUGGACCGAGGAAGGAGAGGUGAGGGAUCACGGGGCCAGCCGACGGACCUUGGCGAGUGCGGGGUCGAAGACGACGUGGGCGCGGUUCUGGAGCAGCGACACGGCGGCGCGGCGCACGCCUCGGCGGGCGGAGAGCGCGGCCUCGACGGCGCCCGUGCACGCGGAGCACGUCAUGCCGGUGACGCGCACCUGCACCCGCCGCAUGCCGGCCUCCGCCUGGUCCUCCCCCUCCGGCCCCACCCCGGCCUCCUCGUCGUAGGAGCCCAGCAACGCGACCUCCUCCAUCUCGUCGUCGGCGCCGCCGGCGAGCGCCGUGAGCUGGAGGUGGGCCAUGGCCGUCGGCGACGGGGAGGCGGGGGAAAUGUUCGGGAGGGGAGCGGAAAUCGUGGGGCAGGGGAGGUGGAGGACGCGCAAUGAUGGGAGGAGACGACUUGCCUAGGGGGUUGUUUUUAAUAUUAGCGUGAAUUCCAAGGGGGUUUCUGCAAAUGCUGCGGGAUUGACUUGAUCCUGAAGAGUUGGUGGGUAGCCGUAGGUAGGCGUCGUCGUGGAUGGGGAAUUCAGGCGUCUACACUUGGAAGAAGGCUCUUUUGCCUCCCUUGUUUGUCUCGCCGAUUCGUAUUUAAAAUUUUAAAUGUCUUAGAGCGUGUUUGGACUGCUCUGCUAUAUGUUCUUUUUUAGCUCCGCUUUAUGUUUUUUAGCCAAACAGUUUCAGUUCCACGUACUGAGUUCGUGGAAAAAACGUAGAGUUGUGAGAGUACCUAAAGAGUUAUUCCAGAAACUUUAAUUUUUUGUAGAGCUGCUCUACGCACCCCUUAGACUUAAAAAUAUUUUCUAAAUAUGUACCACUAUCGUGGUCUCAAAUUUUCAUUUAACUAAAUUUAUAGAAAAUAUUAACAACACUUAUCUUCAAAUAAAUCUAUUAUAAAACCAUAUUCAAUGAUUUAUUUAAUAAUAUUAAGUAUGCACCAUAAACUAAUAUUUCCUUAUAUUGUUUAACUUUUCGAGCCGUAAGAAUAAUGUUUUUUAUAGGACAGAUAGGAUAGAUUGUUUCAUGAGCAAGACAAAAACCACAUAGGUCAUAUUGAGACGGUAAGUAUGUGUCAAAAAGCCAUUUACUUGUUCUUUUAGAAAAAUACUUUCUUUGUUCUUAACUAUAAGUCAUUGUGACUUUUCUAAAUAUACAGUUUUUACUAUUAUUUAUUUAAUUAUAUAUAGGUUAUAUUUAGGUGUACAACAAAAAUAAUACACAUAGAAAAUUGAAGAGUUAUAACUUAUAACCGAUAAAGUGUGUGUGUAUAUAUAUAUAUAUAUAUAUAUAUAUAUAUAUAUAUAUAUAUAUAUAUAUAUAUAUAUAUAUAUAUAUAUAUAUAUAUAAUCUCCCACUAACCACGACAACAAGGCACGGCGUGGAGUACAAGGGAAAAAGAGAUUUGUGACUCACGGGGAGCCGGCGGCACGGUCAGUCCGAGUCUCCGAGAAGAAACAUUCUUGGUGCAACCGUGCAAGCCCUCUGAUGAGAUCUGAAAACGAUGUGGGAGGCAGAGGCUGGCAGGUGACGGAUACGUCGUUUCCAUCUCACGCGCGCCGGCGCCGGCGGCCGAUCGAGCAUGUUCACGCCUCAUGGCUCACGCUCGGGAUAUGCAAGUCCUCUGGGCCGGCCAUGCCGUACGUGUCCAUGCCGGUGGCUUUUCGGUCUUGAGGAGCAGCGGUCAGCAGAGAUCACGUACAACGGUCGCCGGAUCCUGUGGUGUGAGGCUGUUUCCUUGAGACCACGAGAGCAUCGCGUGCGACUGAGACGUUUAUGAAGUUUCCCUUAACUCUUUUGUGAAAGUCUACUUUUCGUCUCUGAAUUUCAAAAUCGGAUAAAAUACAUCCUCAACUUUUAAAACCAUGCAUAUUACCUCCCUAACAUGGUUAUGAGUGGUGUGAAGGCAGUUUUGUCUUUUUUAUUUUUAUUUAUUUCUGUUGAAUAUUUGUAAAAUUAUAGUAAGUCACAUAAAAUUUAAAAAAUAGUAAAUAUAAUUUUGUUGGACUCCAACUAAGUAGAACAUAUAAUAUAGUAUGCUUUAGUACAAAUUUUUUUAUUGUAGCUUUAGAUCUAUGUUUUUCUAUAAUUAAUUCGAAUAAUUCAUAGCUAUAUGUUGUAUGGCCCAAUUGUGGUGAAUUUUUUAUGUUGUGCUAAUUAUUAUAUGUUUAAACUAUGGUAAAAAUUUCAUACUCAUUAGAUCAUGUAUAACUUAGUUAUAGAUUUAUUAAGAUUUAACAAGCAUAAACUUGAAUAAAUCUAUAACUAAGUAAUACAAGAUCCAAUGAGUAUGAAAUUUUUACUACAACUCAAUCAUAGAAUAAUUAGCCCACCAUAUAAUUUUCAUCACAAUUGGACCAUAGAAACUAUAGCUAUAAUUAGUCUAAUUAAUUAUAGAAAAGCAUAAAUCUAAAGCUACAUAAAAAAUUUGUACUAAAACAUACUAUAUUAUAUACUCAAUGUGUAGAUGUACUCAUCUGAAGUCCAACAAAAUUGAGUUUUCUAUUUUAUGAUUUUUAUGUGAUUUACUGUGAUUUUUCAAAAAAUUCAGCCAAAAUAAAUAAAAAGAAAAAGACAAAACCGCUUUUAAAACCAGGUCAGGAUGUAAUGUGCAUGAAUUUAAAAGUUGAGAGAUGUAUUUUAUCCAGUUUUAGAAUUUUAGAAUUCAGAGAUGAAAAUCAGACUUUCGUAAAAGUUGAGUGACGGACUUUUUUCUAUCCAUUAUAUUUGCGUGUAUUCGUAUGCUGGGCUAGCACUAGCAGGACCCGCAAGGCUGUUGGGCUAGCAGGAGCCGAAGAAGCAGCUCUCGCAAGGCCCACAGCGGAACGCACACGUUGGCACGUUGCUGCAGCGAACAGACUAGCAAGCAGGGCCGCGAGAAGAAGAAGCAAAGCUUCAGUUGGCCUAGGCUCCUCCUCCUCCUCCUCGACGUGGGCCGCCAAUUUUGGUUCACGAGGGAUGGAAACAACAUGCAACACCCCCAAAUCUAUAGAUUUUUAGUUUGACUUAUCAGUCAAAUCCAUCAGUCAUACAGCAAUAUUUUUCUCUCGUAAUAAAUCAGCCAAUGGUACUCAAACGAACAAUACGCGGGUGGGAUCCUGUGCUCAAGUAGCAACAACGACUUCCGAUCAGGCUGAUAGAUUUUCCACGUCUCGGUGUUUUUCGACCCCAUCGUUUUCAGGACAUAUGCACGGUUGCUAAGAGUCAAAUUAAAAGGCAGUCCGUUGUACGUACCGCUGUUGUGCACCUCGUCAACAUCCUCUUAAAACUGAUCUUAACCAUCCUUUAUUCAUUUUCAUGAACAGAUAUAUAUAUAGCCCGCCAAUAGUAACUACAACUCCUAUUGUCUCCUAUCUUAUAAACAGGGUAACAAAUACGGAAUAUUUGUUUAUUAGGUGGAAAAAAGAAUUUUAUGGGGGUGUUUGGGACUGCUCUGCUCCACGUUUUUCAGCCAUGCUCCAUAUUUUUUAGCCAAACAGUUUCAGCUCUACGCACUCAGUUCGAAAAAAAAAGAGUGGAGGUGUGAGAGCACCUCAAGAGAUACUCCACGAACUCUAGUUUUUUGUGGAGCUGCUCUAUAGUGGAGUUUAUGGAGCAGAGUUCGUGGAGCAGUGCCAAACACCCUCCUAUAUAUGCAGCUGAGGAAAUAUGACGCCUAGAACAAAUCAUGCAAUAUAUAUACGUGUGGGGCAAAACACAUGGAUAGAACAAAAAAGGAAUCCAGAAUACACCAUGUAUAUCUCCUACAUAUAUACAUUACAACUAAAAAAACUAAAACUGGGACAUUUCUUUGGUGCGGUUUUGGUUUUCGUCAGCCUGCCCCUCGCGCCGUGCGUCCGCAUCCGCGUAUUAGGAAACAGCCCCAUCGUUGCGACCCCCUUCCCCUUUUCUCUCGCGCUGCGAUCCCCUCCCGCAGCAAGCGCUUUUCUCGGUCGCGCGAUCCCCUCCGAUCAGCAUCAAGCGCUCUUCUCGAUCGCGCCCCGAUUCCCUUUCUGAUCGCGAGCGCUGCCACGAGCGCCGUCGCGUCCGCCGCCACGAGCUCACCGGUGGCCGCGUCCGCUCAAACCCUGGUCUCGAGCACCGUCGCGACCGCCGCCGCGAGCUCACCGAUGGCUGCGCAUCGCGAUCCCAUCCUGCCCAACGCCGCAAAAGCGCUCGCCGGUGGCCGCGCGCGCCCGCUUUCUGAGCUCGCCGGUCAUGCUCAUGCCGCCGCCCUCCGCUGUCCCGCAUCCCGCUGCCUCGCGCUGCCACCCAGGGGCGGAUCUACCAAUCUAGCAUGGUCUGGCGGCCGCCACACCUUCCGCCAGCGAGAACCCCCUGCAUCCCUUCUAGCCGAGCGGCAUGCCGACGUCUCCCUUAUGCGCGCCACACCUCACAAGUAUGCUACGCGGAGCUGAGGCCCAGCGGAAGGCAUUUUCUGAUGGAAAGCUACUGCAAUUCUGCUGUAGCAAAGAAAAGGUUAGUGAAAAUAGCUAUCCUGUUUGUGAAUUUGUCUUAGAAAUAAUUAGUUCAGCACUAAGCUGAUAUUUGAUACUUUGGUUAAAUCAUUACCCAAAAAUGUCGGAAGUGAUUUCAAGUCAUUUAUUUUUUAGACUAAGGAUUUAGGAUAUGUAUGGUUAGGAUUUAGGAUAUGUAGCUGCACCUAAAAUAAAUAAAAAUGUGUUUCAAUAUUUUCUUGUUCUUCUAAAAAUAUUCGAAGUUGUUGAUUUUUUUAGUCUUAACCUGUUAGAAGUUUGAGCAUUAAAAAAUACUAUCAUUUCAUUAAAUAAAAUUGGUUAUUUAAACAAUAAUCUUAUUCAGUAUGUAGUAGUUGUACCCUUGAUACAGCUUUUAUCAUGUGAAAUUUUUUACUAUGUUAUCUUCAUUCCUUAGAGAUCUGUUUCGUGCAUUGUUAUGAGCAUUGUUGUUCCCCAACCGAGUGCAGUGGAGAACCUAGAGAUAUCUCUGAAGCAUAUCCCGUCAAGAAAGGUAGAAACUUGACUGUGUGGUUUAUAUAUUUCUACAUUACACUAUUUUGGCUUGUAUUUGACAAGGGUUGAUAUGUUUGCAGAAUAAAACGUUACCUGAUCAACUCUUUGAUCUCAAAAGUAAGGUAAUAAUGAUGAGCUCCAGUUACCUUUUGCCUAAUUUUAUUUAUGUUCCAUGCAUUAGUACUAAACCUUGUAACGCAGAGAUAAUAGUUAUGUUUUGCAGGAACAGGAAUUGCAUGAUCCCAAUAAAGACCUAAGGAAAAAGGUAAUGUCAAUGACCUUAAAGCAUCUCUCUCUGUGUGUGUGUGUGUGUGUGUGUGUGUGUGUGUGUGUGUGUGUGUGUGUGUAUAUAUAUAUAUAUAUAUAUAUAUAUAUAUAUAUAUAUAUAUAUAUAUAUAUAUGUAUAUGUAUGUAUGUAUUUAUCUUGAUUUUAAGUUGUUUACAUGCACAAUGUUCUUGAUCCUUAUGAAGGACUCCUUGACCAUCCGAGCAAUGAUCCUUCGCUGCAGAUCGGGGUAAGUUUUUCCAGGUGAUAAAUAGCUAAGAUAGUGAAAAAUAGAGAGAGAGAGAGAGAAAACAAAAUUAUAUAAGCAUAUCCACGAAGCCACGCACAACUGUUAUAUGAACACUGAACUAAAGCAAUUACAGUCAGAGUCGGCUCGCAUGGAUGAGGCCAUGACACCAUCACAAUUUCCUAUAAAGAAACAUAAUCCUAGCACUGCACAUUCAGAAAAUCAAAACUGAAAUUUUAAAUUUUAAAUGUGCACAUCCUUCUAAAACUUAUUCCUUAAUAAUAUGACACGCCAGCACAUUCAGAAGAUCUUGCAUUUCUCUAUAGCUAUUUUCAUAUUCCAAUCACAUUCUUUGCGGCCCUUCUCAUGAAUAAUAGUGCAAGAGCCUUUCUUUUGGUACGAAUAGUCUAAAUUUUAGUAGAUGUACAUAAAGGUAGUUGGUUUGAGCUUUGGAUCAACUUCUUCAUUGUGCUAAUCUGCAAGUACAUUGGGAAUCAGACAUUGUGCUCUGUAGCUGGACGGUGCACAACAGGUUUGUAAACUUGGUGCGCAACAGGUGUGUAAACUUAUGCCUACUAACUUUGAUCUCUUUCAAAGAUUAUCAAUAGUACAUGUGCACACCAAUGUCCUUUACUGGAUCCUGCCUGUAGUUAUGUGUGCUUUCAUCUGAUCCAAUUUCAAGUGUAUUAUGCCUAUUAGCUUUGGUCCCUUUAAUGCCUGCCGUUCUUUGUGCCUGAAUCUGUGAAUGGAGUGCUUCAAUGACCUUCAACCUUUUCGAAUUACAUCCCUCUCCCCUCUUAAAGCUAAUGGUCCCAUUAAAAUCCAAGUUAUGUUUCAUACAUCGUUUAGUAAGAAUGGGCCCGAUCCUUAGUUGUUGGAGAAGAAACGAUAGUGAUGAACAACUAUCAAUUUACCUAAACAUAUUUCUUGGUUUUUUAGCGAAUCUUAAUUUUCCAUGGCCUUUAGUACACAUUGUGGCCUUAAAAAACAUUAACAAGCACGUGCAGCCACUAUUAGAUCUUUAGUUUUAUCUAUGAUUAGUCUUAUGUAAUUUCACUACACUUCCAUAUAAUGCUUAAUCGCAAAACUUAGUUGAAUAUUUUGGGGGAUUUUGAAUUUUGAAUUUGUGUUGUCUUUGAACAAUAAGGAAUCAGUAUGUAGUGUAGAUCAAGUUGGUUUCCAGAGGCUAUAAAGGCAGAAGAUGGAUAUAUUGUGUACUAGGUCGCAAAAGAUUGUUCCAAUAAAGUGAAAUCUCUAUUCACUUUUGUUAUCUGUCAGCGGUUUAGUCAAUGAUGCCUGGAUAGUAAAGUAAAUACAUGAUGCAAUCGUUGCAAGAUCAACUACACAAGAAAAUAGUCGACAUUAUUUUUUUAUCUAAACAAAUAGACAUACUAGAGAAUUUUAUGCUUCUUCUAAGACCAAUUAUGUGAAUCUAUUUUGUUAUGGUUCCUAUAGGAGUGUCAGGAGCAUAAUAGUGGAUAUGGUUUUCAGCCCUCACCGUGCAUUUUUCUUGCGAGUGGUUGAUAUGAACUAAACUUCAUAAAUUAUUUUUUCUCUUUCUGUGUGCAGGAUGAGAUGGAAACCUUCACCACCCUAAGUGUCAACAAGACGAAGGACGCUAACACAUCAUAGUAUAGUUGCUAAGACAUCAUAGUAUAGUUGCUAAUAUAUCUGUUGUAUUCUACCGUUUGAUGAGCAAAGCACACAUAUAUUUUUUUAUAUUGCACACUUCUCAACUUUAGCAGUUUUCAUGUAUUUAAAGAUGUGGGCUUCUCUUUGUGAAAGUUUUCAUAUAUAUUGCACAUUUCUUAAUAUUGGUUGUUUCUAUGUAUUUAAACAUGUGGUCCUUGAAUCUGUGAAAGUUGAUCUCAUAUAUUUUCCUUCAUAGUUAUCAAGGUAUUAUUUGUUCCCAUUGCAACACAAAAGGUUUACACAAUAAAGUUUUUGAGCUUGCGAUAUCGCGCUCUCCGUGUCUUUUUAAAAUUAAUGAACUUAGAUUUUUGGAUUAAAUUUCAGUUGAAUGUUGGUAUUUAAUUUUAUAGUGUUAUUAUUCUAUCAUGCAAUCCGUAUGUUUUUAAUAUAAAAAAUUAGUUGUCCCGUAGCAACGCACGGGUACACUACCAUUAUAAAUUAAGACGUGAAGUUCGGGCGACGAAAUACCGAGCUUCGUCGAUUCGUAAGGAGCAGAUAGAGAUUGACGUACGGGUGGAAUUAUUAGAAAAAUCAAAAGCCGAAAUUGUACGAUGCGUUGCCAUUAAUUAUUUGCCGCCACGUCUUAAGAUAGGCAGCACUAUAGCUCACAUUCUGCAAACCUCACAUGGAACAUGUACACUGAGAUCAGUUUCAGAGGCAGAACUCCCUUCUCUCUUUGGGCCGCCGCGCUGCACUAUAGGAGUACUGAGGCUGUAUCCAACAACUCACGCAUUAGCAAAAGCAAACCAAAAAAUGUCUACACCUUGCUUUUAAACUAUCUCCAACAAUAAGAACGCAAAUCCAACACCUUUGGAAAGUACUCUCACCUAAAAUUUCCCCAUCUCUCAUAGUAAAGAGAAAGGAGAACGUAAUCCCCUCCCCAUCCCGUCAAAGUUCACGUGGUUGCAGUCGCCGCCGCCGUCCCCGUCCCCGUCCCUAUACCGCCCCACCGUCAUAGAGCUGCAGUUGGAGGUGGCCGUGGUGGCACGCGAGCGGUGGAGGGAGCAGGCGCUACUCAAGGUGGCCAUGGCGGCGGCGACAAAGGAAGAUUUGGCAGCGCUGCCCGCCUCCCUCCCCGCAUCGUCGUCAUUGGGCCCGUCUAGCCACGCCGACCGUGCCUUGCAGGCGCCGCCUGCUACCUCGGACCCGUUGGCUAUAGAGAAGCCGUGACCGUCUCGAACUCGAUUGGAGGAGUGGAGGAGCCACACUCUCCAGGAUCGCAAGUCCAUGACUGGCGAAGCGACGCCGCGACCGAGUGGAGAUAGGCUUGAACGGCGUUGUCGUUGUCGUCGCCCCCGGGCCGGCUGCUUCUCGCGUGCGGGCCCACUAUUAUGGGGCUAGAGAUUUGUGUCACCUCACCUUGACAACGGUUAUCUGCGUCUUAGCUUUGUUAGACAAAAUAUGUGUUGCAUUUAAGUCUCUUGUUGGAAGGGGGGUUUUGAUAUGUAAAAACACUAUAGGCUAUCUAUUUUGCGUUUGUGUUCUCUACUUGGAUGCAUCUCGUCUUUGGGACUUUGGGAGCUCGAUGGUGUGCCAUGGUGGCGCCCCGCCCAGCCGCCACACCCAUGCACGCUCCUAGCUCCCGGCCGGGAACUUCUGCGUUCCUUGCAAAAUUGCACGGCUCCAAAGAAAAACGAAGGUAGGGUCUUGUUUAGUUCACCCUAAAAACCAAAAAGUUUUCAAGAUUUCACGUCAUAUCGAAUCUUGCGGCAUAUGCAUAAAGCAUUAAAUAUAGACGAAAACAAAAACUAAUUACACAGUUUGCCUGUAAAUCGCGAGAUGAAUCUUUUGAUUCUAAUUAGUGGACAAUAUUUAUCACAAACAAACGAAAGUGCUACAGUAGCGAAAUCCAAAAAAAAUUCGCAUCUAAACAAGGCCUAGCUAGGACUAGGAGUAGCUAUAGGGCAUCUUCCCCAAACCAUUGGCAGUCCAUGCGCAUGUCUCCCAUACAACAAGCAAACGUAGGUGUUUGGUUGGGGUUGUUAGAGUUUAAUAUUUAUUUUUAUCAUUUUUGUUUUAUUUGACUAUUAUUGUCUAAUUAUGGAUUAAUUGGGCUCAAAAGAUUCAUCUCGCAAAUUACUCUCUAGCUAUGUUUUUAGUUUUAUAAAUAAUCUACAUUUAGUACUUUAUGCAUGUGUUCAAACAUUUGAUGUGACAGGCAGUAAAGUCUAUCGCCCAUAACCAAACAGGCCCUAAGGCCUUGUUUAGUUCACCUCAAAAUUCAAAAUCCUUUUCAGAUUCUUCAUCACAUCAAAUCUUGUGGCACAUGCAUGGAGCAUUAAAUAUAGAUGAAAACAAAAAUUAAUUGCACAGUUUGUCUGUAAUUUACUCCCUCUGUCCCGGUAUAUAAGGCAUAACGAACUUUGGUUCAAAGACCAAUAACACAUUUAAUUCUUUUUCACAGCACUAGUAGUACUGCAUUUAAAUUUGUGAAGGAGCAUGCCUUAUAUUAUAGGACAUAAGUAAAAAGUGGUUACGCCUUAUAUACUGAGACGGAGGAAGUAUAAAGACAAAUCUUUCGAACCUAAUUAGCCUAUACUUAAACAAUAAUUAUUAAAUAAAAAUAAAAUUACUAUAGUACCUAAACAUGACCUAAAUCUAGAGAGGGUUCAUCGCCGAGAGAUUCCACGAGAUCCACACAUACGACUAGGGCACUACCGCCUAUGGUCCGUGCCGCGUGCCCAAGCUCCAGCUCCCUCGUUCAUUGAUGAAGCUAUGCACCAUUGUUAUUGUACUAGAAAAAAGUUUACAUAACCACCACACUAUCUAAGAUAGACUAGUUCACCCUUUGAACUAUAAAACCGAUAUUCUAUCUCUAAACUUUUCAAAACCGGUCAAAUAACCCCCAUCGAGUAGUUUUGCAAGAUGGUUUUUUUAUCUUUUAUCAUUUUAUUUAUUUCUAUUGAAUCUUUGAAAAUUCAUAAUAAAUCAUAGAUAAAUUAUUAAAAAAUCUAAUCUUGUUGGACUUCACAUGAGUAAAUCUAUACAGUGAAUUAUAAUAUGAUAUGCUUAGUAAAAAGUUUUUGCUAUAGCUUUAGAUCUAUAUGUUUUUCUAUAAUUAAUUAGAGUAAUUCAUAUAUGCAGUUUUUAUAUGGUGAACUUUUUUUUGACCUAAUUAUUGUCUAGUUGAAGUACAGUAAAAAUUUGGUGCCCAUUGGAUCAAGUAUAACUUAGUUAUAGUUUUAUUUAACUUUAUUCUUGGUAAAUCUAUGCUUUAUCUAUAACUUAGUUAUACGUGAUUCAAUGAGUAAACUAUUUAUCAUAGUUCAAGCAUACAAUAAUGAACCCACCAUAAAAAAAUUUACCAUAAUUGGGCUAUAGAAACUGCAUAUAUGAAUUAUUCUAAUUAAUUAUAGAAAACAUAGAUUUAAAGAUACAACAAAAACUUUGUACUAAAGUAUACCAUAUUAUAUAUUCAUUGUGUAGAUCUACUCAUCUGGAGUCUAACAAAAUUAGAAUUUUCAUUUUAUUAUUUUUCCUAUGAUGUAUUAUGAUUUUCAAAAAUUUGGCGGAAAAAAAAAAGAAAAAGACAAAACCAUCCUCUAAAACCGGUCAUUUGACCGGUUUUGAAAAGUUUAUGGGAUAGAAUAUCCGAUUUUAUAGUUCAGGAGUGAAAUAGACUCUAUUAGAUAGUUGAGAGGCGUUAUGUAGACUUUUUUUAUAUUCUAGUACUACAUACCCAACAUCAACAGACAUCCCUCGUUGCCUUUUUAGAGACUUUAGUUCCCAAAAAAUUUUGUAAAAUUUUUCAAAUUUCCCGUCACAUCGAAUCUUUAGACGUAUGCAUGGAGUAUUAAAUAUAGAUAAAAAUAAAAACUAAUUGCACAGUUUGGUCGAAAUUGACGAGACGAAUCUUUUAAGCCUAGUUAGUCCAUGAUUGGACAAUGUUUGUCAAAUACAAACGAAAAUGCUACAGUGUCGAUUUCCCAAAAAAUUUUAGAACUAAACAAGGCCUUAGAUGGAUACAUAAAGUAUUAAAUAUAGAUAAAAAUAAAAACUAAUUGCAUAGUUUACCUGUAGUAAUUUGAGAGAUAAAUUUUUUAGUCCUAGUUAACCUAUAAUUGAACAAUAAUUAUCAAAUAUAAUCACCAAGUGAAGUCCUUAAAGUUUUUCGUCCCUCUUCGCGCCGCCGGACGGACGUAUGGACGGCAAUGCAUUUGGAUCCGACAGGAUUGGACGUGUCAUGUACGUGUUGCCUGCAGCAAACAUGCAUGCAUACUAUGCGCCAGUGCGCCACUGCCAACCGUUAUUGCUGUAUGAACGGUGCUGCCUGCCUAGUGCCUACCAUACCUUACCGGCUGAGGCCCGGCCGUCUGUGUAGUGUGUACUACUGUAGUUCUAUUUACUGUAGAGUGUACGUAUAGCACUAUUACACUGAUCCAGCUUGAACUCGUGCAGUGCAUAAGUCCUGUCCUGUCAAUCUAGACCAUACGACUAGGGUCUUGUUUAGUUCAAAAAAUUUAGCAAAAUAGAUAUUAUAGCACUUUUAUUUAUAUUUGAUAAAUAUUGUCUAAUCAUAAACUAACUAGGCUCAAAAGAUUCGUCUCGUAAAUUACAGAUAAACUGUGCACUUAAUUAUUUCUUUUAUUUAUAUUCAAUGCUCUAUAUAUGUGCCACAAGAUUCUAUGUAACGAGAAAUCUGAAAAUCCUAGAAAAUUUUGCAAAACUUUUCAUACAUUUUCCAUCACAUCGAAUCUUACGACACAUGCAGGGAACAUUAAAUAUAGAUAAAAAAUAACUAAUUACACAGUUUGCCUGUAAUUUACGAAACGAAUCUUUUGAGCUUAUUUAGUCUAUGAGUAGACAAUAUUUGUCAAUACAAACGAAAGUGCUACAAUGUCUAUUUUCUAAAAAUUUUGGAACUAAACAAGGGCCUUGUUUAGAUGGCAAUUUUUUUUUGUUUCGGAUACUGUAGCACUUUCAUUUAUAUUUGAUAAAUAUUGUCCGAUCAUGAACUAACUAGACUUAAACUAAUUAGUCUUAAAAGAUUCGUCUCACAAAUUACAGGCUGUGUAAUUAGUUUUUAUUUUCGUUUAUAUUUAAUGCUCCAUACAUGUGCCAUAAGAUUCGAUAUAACAAAAAAUCUUAAAAAUUCUUGAAUACCUUUUGAAAACUAAACAAGGCCAAGGCCCUAGAUUUUCUUUUCUGCUCUCUGAGUCCCUGCUAGAGCUGCUAGGGUAUAAAUGCUGGCCGGGCACGUUUGGUAGUGCUCCGCGAGCGGCUCAACCUGAGAAGCAACCAAACGGCCUCCCGCUCCACCAAAAAAAAAGCUCCUUGAUUAGCAUUGAGAGAAGCGAGAAGAAAGAAUAUACUAGUAGCUCUAUCUCACUCUUUAGAUCCGUUCACUUGUCUUAUAAGUUAUAUUUUUUUAUUAACCAACAGUGAUUUUCUUCUAUAAUAAAUAAGCGAACAACAGUCAUGACUUUCAGACACUCUUUUUCGUCAAUCCCAUGCCCUCCAUGGACGAUGUCAGAUUUGCCUUGCUAGGUAAGCCGACGAGGCUCUAGGUUAAAGAUGGCAACGGGUAAAAUCUGUGUGGAUAGCAGUGUCACGUGCCCACACCUGUGACCAAAAUUUCGUUCCCGGUGCCACGCCCGCCACCCCCCGCGGGCGCCAUCCUAUGCUCGUGCCCGCUAUCUGCGGGCAUGCCCGUCUGCUCGCCAAAUCUGGAGGAGAUUGGUGUUGGUGUGGCGAGGACGACUGCAGGGCAGGGUGGCUCAACGGACGACAGCUAGGACGGCAGCCUACCUACCUGGUAAUCCAGCAUGGGCGGGCAACGACGGGCUGUAGAAGCUGCAAUCAUGGAUCUUGCGGAUGACAAGCUACAGAAGCUCCAAUCACAGAGAAGCGGAGCUCUAGAUCUCGCCACCCACAGAGAAGAGGAGGAGAAGUUGGAGGACAGCGCGGUCGUGGAAGCCGGAGGAAGGAAGUGUAGUUGUGAAGAUGGAAGAGGUUGAGAGGAAGAGGAAAGUGCCGGAUAUGGCCCUGGUGGCAGCGUAAGAUAGGGAGUGGCGUGGGAUGAAUGGAAUCCUGGGGAUAUGAAAGAAGAUUAUAUACCUCUUUCGCUCUAGCCCAACAUGGUAUUGUGGGUUUGGUGGGUUUACUGGUGUGAGCAUGGUAUUUUCUUACCCGUAUAAGUUUGGCCGUUGGGCAUAACUCUUUACCCGUGCUCGUGCCCGCGAGCAUAGAUUCAUGCCCGUAUCCGCGCCCGCAGGGUCGGGUGUUCGUGGGUACACAGGUUUUUCUUGUCCGUUGCCAUCUUGACUCUAGGUAAUGAUAGCAAGGGCUGGGGAGGAGACAACCAGACCAACAGAGGCGUGGGGUGGCCUGAGGAGGGCUGACGGUGGUGCGUCACGGUGCAGACUAUGGAAGGUUGAUAGCAGUGCGAUGUGGGGGCGGGCCGAGAUGGUCAACAGUGGGGCUAUGCAGGUAGACACGUUGACACCAGCAUGGAAAGUCAAGAAUGGGGAGGGUAAACGACGGUGGCAUAGCAUGCGCGCAAUGGAGGUGUAGGAGGAAGAAGUAAUAAAAGAAUAAUGAGGUGAAAUGUGGACAGUUGGAGAAGCUAUAACUAGAGUUGUUUUAAUUAAUGUGGAGCUUUAUCAAAUGCCUCCUAGCUCCACAACCAUGUCCACAUUUCUAUGUAGUAACACUUGCUCUGUCUCACAAUGUUUAGUAGACCUUAUAGCAUUUAGAUUUUGUACCAAAAUAAUUAUCAUUCUCACUUUUCAAUGUACUAUUUCUCUUCUUUUAAUAUUUUUUCCUCUAUCAAUUCAUCUCUAUUUUUAGGGUGACCUUAAACAUUAAUUGGUACCGGUGGUAGAUCCUAAAAUCUAAUGUUUUAGGAUAGAGGGAGUAUGAUUCAUUCUCUCUAUUCUCGGUCAUGCACAUCCUAUAUAUCAGCAGAAAAGUAAAAACAAAACAUAAACCUGCCAUACGGUACAACUAAUUCUAAUCUUCGCUACGCCACGCCACAAUGAUGGUAGCCACAGCAUGGCGUGGCGGUGGCGAACAAAACCCGCCACACUUGGUCUCGCCACAAUUAAUAUGUGCUACGCAAUAGGGUGCAGGAGCAACCGACAAGAAAAAACACAUAUGGUUGCCAUCACUGCUAAAAACUGAACCAACCAGCUGCUUUUGCUCCGUGGCUCGCUGAAGCUUUAGGCAAGCUAUGUGUGGCCGCCAAAUCUUAGGCAAGUGAAGUGUGGCCCUAAGCUAAAUUGGACAAUAAUUACCAAAUAUAAAUGAAAGUGUUACAAUACCAAAACCAAAAAAUUUCUCAAACUGAACAAGGCGAACUGAACAAGGCGAGAGUGCUGCUGUCAAUCGACAACACUACUAGGCCUUGUUUGGUUCCGAAAACUGAAAAGUUUUCGGAACUGUAGCACUUUCGUUUGUUUGUGGUAAAUAUUAUCUAAUCAUAGACUAACUAGAGUCAAAAGAUUCGUCUCGUGAUUUACAGUUAAACUAUAUGAUUAGUUUUUGUUUUCAUCUAUCUUUAAUGCUUCAUGCAUGUACCGUAAAAUUCGAUGUGACAGGGAAUCUUGAAAACUUUUUAGAUUUCGGGGUGAACUAAACAAGGCCCUAGUUUAUUUUCUGCUAUCUCUGAAACCCUGCUGGUCCACGCAUGUGGCUGGAAAUUAAAACAACCGAUCGGACUCGAUGCUGUACCAUAACAUCAAAACACAGUCGCUUUGAUACACACUGCAAUUGAAGUGCAUCGUCGCAUCUGUCCGUGUCCGGAUCGGGAGCGCUUUGAAAGGGCUUGCUGAUUGAGUUCGGUGUACAUGGACUCAUCACGGCGAUUCGCUGGAAUGCCUGUGGCCUGCGCCUGCGUGGUGCGUGCCCCUGUGCCUAUGCGCGCAAUGCAUGCAUGCAAAUGCAGCGCAGGGCAGGGCAGAAGAAGGCGCCACCGCCCAGCCGUACGGCGGCGAGGGGCUCCAGAGGAGACCAGGGAGGACGGAGCUCCAGUCGUCGACAGGCGGAUCACGAGACAGGAAUUGAAGAAACCACUCGCCACUCCAUCAUGGCCGUGUGAUGCUAGUACUGUUAACGAUCGACGUACUACAGUUUGCGGCAGCCGGCAGCAUGCAGCUUUGAUGCUAACUGUUCUCGCCGAUCCGUCUCCUCUUGUCUCGCCUCCAAAGCCUUUCAAAAGUUUGGUUCAGGAAUCUGAAAAGGCCGGUAGGCACUCAGCACUACCUAAAAGUUACUUGAUUUGUACUGGGUCCUAGGUCCCUUGCAUUUGCAUUUGCAUCUGUUUUUUUUUUUUUUUUGAAGUUAUGCAUCGGUUUGGAAAAGAUGGAUCCAUAUGGUCAUAUGGAGGUAGACGGAUGGAGGUCAUAGCGCCCUUUUUGUGUCCGCUUUGGUUGUUAACCAGCGGUUGUCUCCUAUUUUUUUAUAGUAUUUGCAUUUAGGCUCUUAGAGGUAGGAUUAGUAUACCAUAUCAACUUCAAAGGUGUAAGCAAACAUAUACAGAGUAGUACUCCUGUCGUUCUAAAUUAUAAGUUGUUUUAUCCUUUUUAGAUAUACUUUUUUACUAUGCUUCUAGACAUAGUAUAUAUGUGAUAACAAAAGUCAUAAAUCUAGUUCUACAAAAUUCAAAACGUCUUAGAGCAAGCCUAAUAAACUUGGCUUUAAGCCAAGACACAUCACUGAUCUGAAAAGUUAAAGGCUAAAAUUAUUGUUGACUGAUUUAUUAUGAGAAAAAAAUAGGCUGGUAAAAAAAAUACGGAAUAGGGCUGAAAAGAAAAGAGAGCAGACUCAUCGGUCUACAAUAGCCUGCUCCUCACACGGUCUAAAAAUUAAAUUUUUAUUAAACGGGCCAACAUGCUAGGAAAGUUGCCGAACCUUUGCAUGCUGCAUUGGGAAGCGCGUUGCGCUCGACGCAAGUCCAGCACCAUUACAUUCUCUCUCGAUGCUUUUCUCUCUUCCACGUAGAAUUUCGCUGAGUUAACUUGGCAAUAAACAAACUGAAUUGUAUUAGGCCUUGUUUAGUUCACCUAAAAAAUUAAAAAGUUUUUAAGGUUUUUCGUCACAUUGAAUCUUGCGACACAUGUAUGAAGUAUUAAAUAUAAAUGAAAACAAAAACUAAUUAUACAGUUUGUCUAUAAAUCACGAGACAACCUUUUAACCCUAGUUAGUCCAUGAUUAGAUAAUAUUUGCCACAAACAAACGAAAGUGCUACAAUGAUCGAAAACUUUUCAUUUCGCGGAACUGAACAAGGCCUUAGUGUACCUGCUCUUAUAAGUAGGCCUUGUUUAAUUUUUAUCCAAAAAAUCUUCAUAUCAUCCCAUCGAAUGUUUGAACAUAUUCAUAGAGCAUUAAAUAUAAAUAAAAAUAAUAAUUAACUGCAUAAUUUGCAAAUAUUUUGUGAGACGAAUUUUUUAAACCUAUUUAGUAUAUAAUUAGUGUUCGUUUGACUGAAAACCCAUGACAGGCCGAUUCGGGCCUUGUUUAGAUGUGAAAAGAAUUUGGAUUUCGCUACUGUAGCACUUUCGUUUGUUUGUGGUAAAUAUUGUCCAAUUAUAUAUUAACUAGCAGGGUCAAAAGAUUCGUGUCGCGAUUUACAGGCAAACUGUGUGAUUAGUUUUUGUUUUCGUCUAUAUUUAAUGCUUCAUGCAUAUGCCGCAAGAUUCGAUGUGACAGGAAUCUUGAAAACUUUUUGGUUUUCGGAGUAAACUAAACAAGGCCUCGGUAGACAAGCUCAAAUGAACAGACUCAAAUUGCUAUAAUUAUACAUGUGCUAUAGUAAAAAAGAAACUUUUUAGGGUGUGAGAUAAACAUGCCCGACGGGGAGAGCAGUAGGUUAGAGAGUGCCCGCAGUCACCAUCGUCGCCUGCUGCCUGCCUUCAUGCCUUGUGUGGGCUGUGGCCUUUGUCUGGCCGGCCAGCUACUGGCAGCAGUGCCUGGAGAUGGAUCGGAGACCACGGUCAAAGCGCAUGCGCGCACCAUGCCGCUGGCGCUAGGUGCUGCGCGCGGCCUGGUGGCCGGCCGGCGGGGCAUGCAGCUGAUGAUCGAGCAGCUUUGUUGGCGAGUGGCACACAUGCGGACGCGCGCGGUGCAGCAAUGUCAGCAUAUCCAUCCAGUUGCCGCACCGGCACCGCAGCUUUUCUUUGAGGCCGAAAGCUUCAGAGAUGGCAUGGCAUCGCGAUGAACGGCAGAACUCACACGCAGCUGGUAGCGCUACUGUGGCUUCUCGUUGGACCUCCCAUCAAUGAUCAAUCUUACGCUAGUUACACUUGCAGAUCCUCAUUAGCUGCGUAGUCUUUAGAAUUUAGAUGCACACUAGCUAGCUUCCAUAGACUGAUAGAAAGUUGGGUUACUAUUAUCUUAGCUUGUGAGAGUAUUGCUAGAAGCUGGGUGGUUGGAUCGUGAAUUUGGAUCCACCACGGCUUUCACAAGCUCUGGAUUAUUAUUUGUGGAUUGCUAGGAUCUAAACAGGCUCAUAGUACAAUAAUCAUGGCUAUCAUGCAUCUCAAACAAACUGCACUGUUGAGCAAAGGCCUGUGGCUCUGACGCACGAAGGACAGUACUUUGCAGAUCCACGACGACGACGACGACGAUAGAUGUGCGAGAGAAACAAUCACAUCGUCAUCCCAUGCAUCCAAGGCCUUGAUUAGUUCACCUUGAAAACCAAAAAAUUUUUAAGAUUUCCCGUCACAUCGAAUCUUGCAGCACAUGCAUGAAGCAUUAAAUAUAGACGAAAACAAAAACUAAUUACACAGUUUCGCAUCUAAACAAGGCCCAACUGGAAUCAGGCACAGCUUUUAGCUCGUGGUUAUGAAGGUGAUCAAUAAGUAGCCUUUCUGCAGGUUUUUAGUGCGCUAGCUGCUGCUCUGAUGCAUGGUCCAAAUCGAUCGACAUGCAUGCGUGC